rnacentral:lncRNA from 1 species
GUUUUUUUGGUGUGAUUUGAGGCCUCAAGCAGGAUCAUGUUAUGUUUUGGGACCUGUGGUGUGAUUAGACAGGGUCCUGGGGGCCUCGGGUGUGUUUCAAGAUGGCUUCAGAUCAUUUUCCUUUGUUUUGUGAUUGCUGGUUUCUAGUGUCGGGGGAGUUCUUCGCGAUCACGUAAAUAGGCUCGCGACCGCGUAGUGUUGGUAGGGAGCUCGGUGAAGUUGUUAUUCACGAUUGUGUAUUGUGGCUCGUUGUGCAGAUGGUUCAUCGCGUUCGCGAACGCGAAGCAUUGGCAUGGUGGCCUGGUUUGGAGGCUAGCUCUUCGCGGUUGCGUGGGUAAGUUCGCGAUCGUGGAAGGAGUGGAUGGGGGGCUAGCAAGUUUGGUCUAUGCGUUCGCGGAGACGAGAUCGCGUUCGCGAUUGUUUGGCGGGGUGUGCUUCGCGAUCGCGUCACCUGCCUCACAUUCGCAUAGUGAGAUUUCUGGGCGAGUUUGGUUUAGCCUUCGCAAUCGCGAUGGACUAUCCGCGAUCGCAAAGAGGGAGGACCUGGGCAAAACAUGGAUUUAAUUCGGGACUUAGCUCAUUUCUCCUAUGUUUCACUUGGGUUGGCCAACUUUGGGAGCUAUUGGAGGGGAGAUUUUCAUCAUCUAUUGAAAGGUAAGUGAUUCCCACUUGUUGUGAGUUAAAUACUUGGAUUAUAUAUAGAUUUUAACAUAGAAUUUGAUAGAAAUUAUGGAAUUUUUGGAAGAAAACCUAAAAAUGGUAAUUUUAGAUUUUUAUCCCGAAAUUGGACAUGGAAUUAGGAAUAAAUUAUAUUUGAAUUUGUGAUGUUAUGGGUAAUGAUUAUCUUCAAGAAUUUUUGGAAUCCGAGCACGUGGGCCCGAGGGUUUACUUUGUUGACUUUUCGAGCGGAGUUGGAAAUUGUUAUAAAUUAAUUAAUUAUGAGUGUUGGAGUAUAUUUUUAUUGAUUUGCAUGUUGUUUGACUAGUUUCGGAUCGUUGGGCUUUGUAUUGAGGAGUUAAAGAGGCAUUGGAGUCAGUUAUUAAAACUUCGGAGCAAGGUAAGUCUCAUGUCUAACUUUGUGAGAGGGAAAAUACCCCGUAGGUAUUACGAUUUUUGUGUGCUCUAGUUAUAGGUGCUACGCACGUACGAGGUGACGAGAGUCCGUACGUAGCUAAAGCAUGUUUAUGUUCGUGUAGACUUAGGACUUUAUCAUGUAAUAUUUGAAUUAUUUGAACUCAUUUUGCUAGCUUAAUUAAGUGAAUUUAUAAUUGAAAUUGAUUUGGGAAUAGAUUUGGCCGAGCUUUAUCACCUGGAGUUGUUUGGCGAGAUAUUUGGUAAACGGUAAAAGUCAUGUUUACUUUAUGCUCAUGUACCUGUGUUGUAAGCAUAUGACUCGCAAUUCGAUAAGUUUCUUCCUCUCCUGUGGAUCGGGCCGAACGCCUCAGUAGUAUAUGUAUUUAUAUGAGAUGCAUCCAUGGAUCGGGCCGUACGACCUCGGCAGUGAAUAUACACGACUAUAUGGAUUGGUCCGAAUGACCUCUGCAUAAUUCGUGCGUAAAAAUUGCUAAGAGUCCGAAUACCCACGAGAUUACCCUCUCAAUUAAACUUUGGAAUUACGUAAUACUUUCUUCAUGACCUGAGAUUGGAUAUCUAAUUGAGGGUUCAUAUUUGGUGAGAUAGAAUGUGGCCCUUGGGGACAUUUUAACUGAUAAUUGUUGUUAGCAGAUUUUGUUAUCUAUUGUUCCUUAUUCUAUCGAUCCUGUUGUAUUUUAUGCCUAUUUAUGAUUCCUGCAUUUUAUUCAUUGGACUAUCAGUAAGUAUCGAUGUCGACCCCUUGUCACCACUUCUCCGGGGUUAGUUUAGAUAAUUAUUGGGUAUGCGUUGAUUUACAUACUCAUACUACACUUCUCCACUAAAUGUGCAGGAUCUGAUAGGUUCAUUUGAUGGUCAUCUUGCCGCGUAGGCAUAGCUAGUGAGGGGACUUUAUGGUGAGCUGCAUUUCAUGCUACGUGUCGCAGCCCACAGAAUCUACAUCUUAUUUAUUUACUUUGUUCUGUCUAUUGUAUAUUCCAGACAUAUGUUGUAUUAUUAUUAUGGCACUCCUUAGUAGACGCUCAUGCACUUGUAAUACCGAAUUUUGGGAAUUCUAGUAGACACUCAUGGGUUUUGAUUAUUUAAUUCACUAUCUUACUUUCCCGUUUAGUUUAUACUUUACAUUACUAUGCUCACUUACUAUGUUUCCUUAUUAAAUAAAAAUCAAAGAUUUUUUUAAAAAAAAUACUAAAAUGAGAAAUUAAAUGGGUAGUUCACCGUUGGCUUGCCUAGCAGCGACGUUGGGCGUCAUCACGACUUAUAGUGAAAAUUGAGUCGUAACAGAUAUAGUCGGGUCGUUGCCAUCGGGUCCCAGGAAGGUAAGGUUUCUUCUAAUUUUGACUGAUUAAUUUACUAAAUGGGUUUAAGCAGGUCCUUACCAAAAAAAUCAGUGAGCGCGAAGUGGUCGAUUUUCUAUGGGAAAACAUAAUUUGCCAGUUCGGAAUAUCGAAAGAAAUUGCUUGUGACAACGGGCCACAGUUCAUAGCCUCCAAGGUCACAAAAUUUCUUGAAGACCUGAAAAUUAAAACAAUCACAUCUUCGCCAUACCAUCCGAGCAUCCGAGCUGGCGGAAUCUACUAAUAAGGUGAUUAUUCAAAACCUCAAAAAGAGGUUGGAAGCAGCCAAAGGCAAGUGGCCUAAAGAGUUAUUGGGAGUGUUGUGGGCAUACCGGAUGAUGGCCAAGUCGAGCACGGGAGAGACGCCUUUCUCUCUCAUAUACGGUGCAGAAGCUCUGAUCCCGGUAAAAGUAGGAGAACCGACCUUACCGUACUUUUGGGCGGAAGAAGAAGCAAAUAAUGAGGCAUUGCUGGUCAGACUGGAGCUGCUUGACGAACGUAGGGACUUGGCACACAUAAGGAUGGUGGCCCAAAAACAAAGAAUGUAAAGGUACUAUAACUGGAGGGAUAAUCUCUGUUAUUUCAAAGUAGGAGACUUGGUUUUGAGAAAAGUAACUCUAAACACCUGGGAGCUCAACGCGGGAAAGCUGGGUCCGACGUAGGAAGGCCCUUAUAGUGUUUAAGCUAUCACCGGGAAAGGGUCAUAUAAAUUAGAGAACCAAUACGGAGUCAAAUUGCCGAGCAACUGGAAAACUCACCUCAAAAGGUAUUAUUGUUGAUGGGCACCGCUUGUACUGAAAGUAUGUGCUAUACUAUUUUUCCCUUCGCCCAGUUUCUAUCCCAAUUGGGUUUUUCUAGCAAGGUUUUUCAUGAGGAAGCGACGGAAAGCAUACUACGAAGGAAACAUCAUUAGCAGAGAUAAGACCUUUAAAUGACAAGGCAUUGAAACAACAAGCCACUGCAGGAUGGUUAAAUAGUCUUUGGCUCGGUGGAAAAUUCCUAAUGGGAAGCAAAACUUGCCAACGGACCAAAGGCUAUUCAACCGUUCACAAGUAUUUUUCCUACAAGCCACUAGGGGGUGGUUAGAUAAUCUUUGGCUCGAUAGCAAAGUUCCUAACGGAAAACGAAGCUUGCUAUCAAACCAAAUAUUAUCCAACCAUUCACUAGUAUUUUUCCUUCAAAGGAGCAAGACUUCCAGUGUUUCAAUUCGCAUUCGAAAACUGGGGGGAAUAGUAUAAGGAUACGGCAAUGUGAUUGCCACAAAAAUUGGGACUGCGAGACCCAGGAGAAAUAAUGUCUCAUCGGGAUGGGGACUGCAUAGCUAGCCCCGUAGAAACAAGUUGUACAGAAUAGCCACAUGUAUUAGCAAUUUCUUUUCUUUCAGCACUCGACUGCUUAUGUACUUUUGAAGAUAAAAUGAAUAAAAUUAAGUCCUUUUAUUUUUAUCUUGUUUCUUGUCCAAACUAUGAAUUAAUUUUAUCAUUUGAAAGUUAACUAAGUACUUCAAAUGCUAGUGCCGGAAUGAACAGGGGACGUCCUCUUCAAGAGCACUGUAAACAUAAGAGGGCCCUCACUUAUGAAACCCUCAUAGUAAAGGGUUGGUUCCGAAAGAGUUUUUUCCCGUAACCCAAAUGCUAUCAGGGAAAAAUACACUUGAAGCCUUGCCUAAUUUGACGCAAAAAGAAUAAAUUUUGUGCAGUGCUUAAACAAAAAGAACCUUUAUUUAUUAAAUGUACCAAGCAGCACAAGUACAAAAAUACAAAAGGAAAACAAGCAUCUACGCUCCCGGGAGAAGUAGGCGGAUCUGCCGUCAGCGCAGGAUCUUGGACCUCAUCAUCAUCCUCUUCAAGUUCCUCCUCGGUUCCUAAGGACUAGGAACCAGAACUAGAAGAAUUGGUGGCAUCAGGCUGAGUCGGGAGGUGUUCUCAGGCAGCUAACUCCAAUGUUCGAGCCUUGGCGAUCCCAUCGUCGAUAUUAAUAACACCUGUUUUGGCCUCUUCCAAGGUUUCUCUCCUGAUGUGGUACAUAUAAUGUGUCUUUUCAAUAAUGAGGGAAUCCCUUUGGUGCUAAAUUUUUGUUUUUAGCCUAUCAACCUUGGUCAAAAGGCCAUCCCACUCGGAUCUCAUGGCAUUAAGGCUAAGAUCGAGAUCGCAGAUUAUGGUUAUACGAACCUUAUUGUGAUCCAUGAUCUUCUUAUACCUAUCCUCCAUCUGGGCACGCUUCGCCUUUACAGCAGCAGCCUCUUCAGCUUUGGAAUUCAAGACUGCCUCCAAGUUAGUCACUCACUCAAUGGAAGCAGACUCGCGUUCGGUAGCAGCAAGCACGACAUAUUGAACUUUAGACCACUUAGCCUUAGCUUCUUGGAAUUGAAUAUUUAAUUGAGAAGCUUCUUGACUAAGGGCCACUACCUCAUGCUCGCUAAGCUGUAGCUGGGCCUCAAGAUCACUCACUUCGGCGGCGUUCGCUUCUAAUACCGGGAGGCACGUGGCAAGUUGAUUCCUAUCGGCCAACAGUUGAUCCCGUUCGGACUUGAGUCCUUAUUUUUCAAGGAUCAAUUUCUGAAGGCCCUCGGAAGCGAGGAAGUUGGCCUGUAAAGAAAAUAUCGAAGCCAAAAACCCUGUUGUAACAGACAAAGAAAAACAAGCAGUAAAAAGGACAAGUACAGUACCGCUGUUGCAUUGUGCAUGGCGUUAUUUAUCAUACACUCCCCCGAAAGAGAGUGUAUUUUCUUUUUAUUUUUCUCUGAAGCCAGUGGCCUCAGAUAAUUGGCAAGCUCCGCCGGACUCCUUGGAAACAGAGAGAGAGACACUUCUCCUCCCUUGGAGAUCUGCAAAGGGGGUAAAUAGUUGUACCCCAAAUUCCCAUGGACAGGGGACUGGGGAGGAGGGGCAUCUUCCUCUCGGGUGUCUGUGGCCAGGGGAGGAGAUGUAACAGUUGUUGGUGAAGAAAGUAUAGCUAGAGUAGAGGGAGAUGAAGUUGAUGGUGUUGUAGGGUGAGAAGCAGUUGUGGCACAAGCAGCGAUAUUUGUUGGCUGCUCACCAACCGAAGGCAGAAGAGGCCCGGUACUCGACCUUGUAGCACUGGAAGUAGUAACUGGGACUGGAAAGGGAGAAUCAGCAUUUUCCACCAAGUCGAAUUCUCCCAGAGCGCUUGAACAUCAUCCGCGAUUGGGGUUAUAAGCUCUCCAGAUUGAGCAUUCAGUUGAGUUGAUGAAGAUCAUUGUCUCCUUUGGAGGGAAGCCUCUUCAUCACUGGCUUCCCCAUCAUCGUCAAUAACCAUAGUGGAUGUGGCUAGCUCGGGCAUCGUUUUCUUCACUUUCUUCUUUUUACCCUCGGCCGAGGAAGAACUUCGCCUUUCUGGUUGUUUGUUCUCCGGCCGGGGACUCCGAGAAGAAGCACUUGCACUGGAAGCAGGACCGAGGGAACCAAUCAAGGUGAGAGCCUCCUUCAAUAACCUUGCAGCCUCUGCGGGAUCGACCAAAACAUCCUCCUCAGGGACGGAAACAGAACCCUACGGGAGACCUGACUCAAACAAGGAGGUAGUGUUAGCAGGUUUACUCAUGUAGAAAGAUGGAAUAAAGGAAGAGUUUGUUUACCAUGAUUCUUGGCCCUCCACCCGUAUUUGGGGGCCAAUUCCUUCCACCGUUGAGUAUUUGGAGGAGUAAUGUCCAGAAUCUUCUGAAACCACCGGUCCAGGCCUUCAACCCUUGGUGGUGUCCACCGAGUUGCUGAAAUAAUGAAAGAAGAAGGGUUAACAAUGACAUGAAAUAGCCUAUUUUCAGAGAAAGAGAUAAACUUUGAACUUACGUGAACGAUUUCAGGAUUGGUGAAAGGAUGGAGUUACGGCCGGGAUAAUGUCCUUGGUAGCAAUGACGACAAACCGCUCCAUCUAUCCAUGGUCAUUGUCAUCAUCCAUGCUUGUAAGCAAAGCAUGGUGGCCACGCUUACCAAAGUUAAUUACUCCCCUACAGAAGAUUUUGGUUAAGUAAAGGUUCAUCGUAUAAGCUAGGGUGAGGGGCUCUUUAAUUUCUAGGAACAAUCGUCGCAGAUAGGCCACUGUUCGCCACAACGAAGGGCCCACCUGAGCCAAGCAAACCUGGUACCGGUGGCACAAUUCCAAACCACGAGGUCAAGUCCCCCGCUGAAAGAAAAUAGACCCAAAGUGAAGGGGUAUGUGUAAACAUACAAGAAACCAUUCUUGGCGAAGGUUACCGCUCCACCAGAUCAGGAGCAAUGAUGUUUAGGGCAUGGCAGUCAUAGUCUCCCUUCACAACAGGAAUACUGAAAGGGCGAAUAGACGAGGGAUAUUUACCAACAGCCCAAGUUCGGGGGAUUGAAGUGGGGAACUUCUCAUCAAAAUCCUUGGCAGUAUUGAGAUGUAUAGGGAUGAUGGUGCUCACCGUGGGAGGAUCAGCAUUGACAUCAACCUCUUUGUCUUUGCUCCUCUUCGGGACCCCAACGAAGAGAAGAUCAAAGUUCUUAGAAGAGUUAGUAUAAGAAGACAUAAUGAUAAGAAGGUGAUAAGAGUUUUUUAGAAGAAGAUCAAAGGGAGAUGAAAGAAGAAGGAAGUUAAAACCAAAGAAGUUGGGAGAGUUUAUGAAGUUGUUAGAAGUGAAAGAGGUAGAAUGAGACGUAUAAGUAAAGAUAUAGGCGGCUAAAAUUGUGGCCAUAAUUACCUCGAGAACCGUCAAAAAUAUUAUUAAAUCGUGGAGUAACACGUGUCAGGGGUAUUAAACAUAUCUUAUUAAGCAUCAAAAACUUUUUAGAAAUGUUUAAGAAACUUUCCGCCAAGAAAAGAAUCUUCACCAACUUCCCGGUAACACAAAGAUGUGCCAGCAAAAAGUAGGGGGACUAUCUGUAUAGGGUAAAAUCGGUUUAUAUUAAAUGCUCAAAUGACAGCGUGACACAUGGAAUUGGAGGCAGAUGGAAGAUGAAGCGAGUGGGAACCAAGACCGAGGAUAACAGCUUCAGUUUGCACCGGGUAAAUUUCGAAGGGAACAUAAUCAACGGGAGCAAACGAAUAUUUAUCACCAGAUGACAUUUAAUAAAGAAUAUUCCUAAGUAUUAAAUACGAAGCUGUUACAGAGAAUUUUGAUAUUCAUAGCAUGUCGUUACAUAUUCAUCAAUGGCCCCCAUUAUUGUCAUUAAAGAGGGACUUGAUCCUAGGACUUUAUUCCCUAGGUAUAGCUAUAAAUAGUGAUUUUAACAAACAUUCUAACACACGAAAAUUCUGACAAACUUAUGUUGCAUACUAUUCCCAAGCUAAAUAAUACUUUCAUUAUUCUUAUUGCUGCCUUCGGAAGUCUUGCUCCCGGAACCAGGCUAUCUGCUAUUUAUCUCAAUUUUAGCGCUAAGUCUUGCAUUUUAUUUAAUUCAUUUAUCAUAUUUUUAUCAAAUCAGUUUGCUUGUCUAUAAACCACGUAAAAAAAUUCAGUUGUAUCGUUUUACGGGUAAAAAGUAUUGAGUUUCUACAUCUAGCAUUACGACCUUUACCACAAUGAUGUUGUCCAUAAAACAAGUUAGUUCGUGGACUGGAUUUUACUUGACUGUCUACGGUUCCAUUGUGUGUGCUCAGGGUAGAAGUUAUAUACAAAAGUAUCGUCAUGCUAUUAAGUAUUUUUAUUUAAGUUCUUUUCUUUCUAAGAGGCGGAAUCGAAUAACCUCCUGAUGUUGGACAUAUUUAUUUAUGUUUUAAUGUUACUUUUCUCAUAUUUUAACUAUUUUUUGGUGAUAUUUUACUUUUAAAAUGCCAACUUAUAUUAAUAGAUUGAUUUAUACUAAAUUAUUUAUGUUUGGAUGGCUUAGAAUUAACGAGAGAUGAAAUUGGAAGAAAAUAACAGAAUUAAAAGGAAGCUGGCGAGCUUCACUUGCAAGGUAACCACUUAUUUUAAGUUUUAGUUAAAUAAUCACACUUUGAAAAUCGCUUGAAUAAAUUAAUUAUUAAGUUUAAUUUAGUUGAAGUUAAUUACAAAUUCAUGUGGGUACGAUAUUUGGACUUACAAUCAUAUAUUACUUGUACGAUCACGUAUACUCGAGUGUGCGUUUGGGAGCAACAAGUUUUAACACUCAGCCACAUGCUAGAAGGAAGUACAGCUUGAUUGUCGGGGGAAUCAACGGGAAGGAAAAAAUAAGUAGGGGAAUCAACGGGAAGGAAGUACAGCUUGAUUGUUGGUUUGGUUCAUAUUUUAACUGUUUUUUGGAGUUAUUUUACUUUAAAGAUGCCCAACUUAUAUUAAUUAUUGAUUUAUACUAAAUUAUUUAUGUUUGGAUGGCUUAGGAUUAACGAGAGAUGAAAUUGGAAGAAAAGAACAGAAUUAAAAGGAAGCUGGCGAGCUUCACUUGCAAGGUAACCACUUAUUUUAAGUUUUAGUUAAAUAAUCACACUUUGAAAAUCGCUUGAAUAAAACUAAUUGUUAAGUUUAAUUUAGUUUAAGUUAAUCAUAAAUCUAUGUGGGUACGAUAUCUGGACUUACAAUCAUAUAUUAAUUGUACGACCACGUAUACUUGCGUGUGCGUUUGGGAGCAAUAAGUUUUAAUACUCAGCCACUUGUCAGAAGGAAGUACAGCUUGAUUGUCGGGGGAAUCAACAGGAAGGAAAAAAUAAGUCGGGGGAAUCAACGGGAAGGAAGUACAGCUUCAUUGUUGGUUUGGUUGAUAUUUUAACUGCUUUUUGGUGAUAUUUUACUUUAAAGAUGCCUAACUUAUAUUAAAUAUUGAUUUAUACUAAAUUACUAUGUUUGGAUGGCUUAGGAUUAACGAGAGAUGAAAUUGGAAGAAAAGAACAGAAUUAAAAGGAAGCUGGCGAGCUUCACUUGCAAGGUAACCACUUAUUUUAAGUUUUAGUUAAAUAAUCACACUUUGAAAAUUGCUUAAAUAAAUUAAUUGUUAAGUUUAAUUUAGUUGAAGUUAAUCACAAGUCCUUGUGGGUACGAUAUUUGGACUUACAAUCCUAUAUUACUCGUCCGGCCACGUAUACCUGCGUAUACGUUUGGGAGCAACAAGUUUUAACACUCAGCCACUUGUUAGAAAGAAGUAUAGCUUGAUUGUCGGGGGGAAUCAACGGGAAGGAAAAAAUAAGGUUAAGUUGACCUGUCUGAUAUGAUAGCCUGGUAAAUGAAUAACAGCUGCUAUAUCCAGUUGAAUUGCAAUGAUACCAUAAAAAUUUUCACUGUGUCAAUUUACGUAAACUUAAAUCCAUACCAAAAAGAGAUAACAGCUAAUCAUGGUAAAUUCAAACAAGAAGCACUUGUACCAUUAGAGGCAUAUGCUUGUAGUAAUGGAGAGCAUCUCGAAAGGAUAUGCCGUUAUUCAGAGUAAACAAACAUUAAGAGUCUGUCCAUUAACUUUGACGUCCUAAAUUCAAGCCACUAACCAUUGCUACGUCUGUAAAGGAUAUUCUGCUUUAAGGGUGUGUUUGGUAGGAAGGAAAAUAUUUUUCAAAAAUAUUUUUCAAUUUUUUUAUGUUUGAUUGGUUUAAAUGUUUUGAAAAAUAUUUUUCUCAUGAACUCAUUUCCCUCAAAUUGUAGGAAAAUAUUUUUCAUAUCAAUAGAAGGGAAAAUAUUUUCCAAAACUCUUUUCUAACUUUUCGUCCAUUCUCCAUCCCCACCAACCCCUACCAACCCAGCCUCACCCCACCCCAACCCACCCUCGCCUCACCCCUACUCCCACCCUAAAUAAAAAAAUUAUUAAUAGUACUUUCUUUUCAUGUUAUAGAUAGAUUUUUUUUUCAAUUCACCAAAUGAGUAUUUUCUUUUCACGAUAUAAAAAAGUUUUUUUUUUAUUUUAACGAAAAAAAUACUUUCUUUUCGUGAUGUAGAAAAAAUAUUUACUUCAUUUCAACAAAAUGAUGUAGUAAAAAGUAUUUUCUUUUAUUGAAACAAAAAGAGUAUUUACUUUUCAUGAUAUAGAAAAAGUAUUUUCUUUCAUUUCAACAAAAUGAGUACUUUAUUUUCAUGUUGUAGAAAUAGUACUUUCUUUUUCAACUAAAAAAGAAUAUUUUUUCUAGUUAUUGAGCAUAAUUUUCAAUGUUGUUUUUGCGUAAAAAAGUAAAGCAACACAUUAGUUAAUUACUUUGGAUUUGUGUGAAUUUUUAGAAGAAUAAUUAAAUUCUUGAAGAAAAAAUAGAGUCAUGAAAAUGUUGGGUAUUUAGGGGAGGGAAGGGAGAGAGCACAGGAAACAUAGGGACUUGGGGGAAGGGGUGAGGAGAGUAGCAUAAAAAAUUAUUUUUGUAAAAUAUAUUUUCUAUUCUCUAACCAAAUACUAAAAAAUAUUUUUCGGAAAAAGAUUUUCACUCACCAACCAAACAAGAGAAAAUAAGUGAUAAAAUCACUCAUUUUCCAUGAAAAAAUUUUCAAUACCAAACACACCCUAAAUCUUUCUUGGCUAGGAUAAAGCAAACACGAGGCUGCUUAACAAUUAAACAAUCAAUGAGUAUCAUCUGGAGUACAUCAACAGAAUUUUUCUUCAGUAACUUCACAAUAAUCCAAGAAGUAUAUUCUUGUGCCAUCUACCAGCUGAUGAUGAGUGAUGACAUAUAUCACAAGUCUUAACUAAUGUUGCUAUGUCCUAAGAUUGCGCUCCAGAUAUAGCAUAUGACAAUAAGAGAUUGUAUACUGUUAAAAUCGGGCCUAUCCGAUUUAAUAAUUUGAUCGAGAUCGGGAGAUUGCAUCAAAGGACGGCCUCGUAACGGAACAGACUAAAUCACGAGGACUAGGUACCGAGUUCAAAACCGAGGUACUUGUCGAGAUCGAGGCUAGUAGCGAUCGAAACUAAAUGAGACAGACAUCGAGCAAGAUCGAAGAUAGCAUAAUAACAGAAAGGCGAGAUAUCUGUGACUGGUCGAGGAUCACGGCGUAAACCUCGGUGACUGGUCGAGGAUCAUGGCGUAAAUCUCGGAAUUGAUCAAAUCAGAAACGGUUAAUCAGCUAAUCAUGGGAUUUCCUUCUGUACUUAGAAUUAUAUCAUAAGUAGGAUUCCUCUACUAUAUAAAGGGGGUUCUAAUCAUUUGUACAACACGGUUGACAGAUAUAAAAAGCAAUAUAAUUCUCUUUCUCGUUUAUACUAUUGUUAACCAGCUUGUUAUACUUUAAUGGUUCUGGCAUCAAUCAGUUCGAGGGUAUCCAAACUCGAGGGCUGAGUUUCAUUCUAACACCGGUUUGCUUUACUUUAUUGUCAAUUUCUAUUACCCAUCCUCAUAUUUAUCAAUUGGUAUUAGGAUAAAUCACGUGUCCUUAGAACCAUAUUAUAAGUUUAAUUGUUAUCCAAUUUAAAUGGUAAACAGUUUGGCGCCCACCGUGGGGCUAAGGAUAAUAGUGAUUGCUUAAUACUGAUUCCGUUAGCACACACUACUUUACACUUGUUCUCGUAAGAAUCUUUAUUUUUAGGAUAAACAUGUCAAACUCACAAGCAGCGCCUGCAUAUGGUGACAACGGCCUCGGAUUUCACAGGAAAAAUGACAAUACAGCCGCCCCAGGGAUCGAGGUGCCUCAGACUGACCUCGAGGGAGCACUAAUUGCAAAUCCUGUUGAUGUCAGUUCGCACGUCGCUUUAAAUACAAAUUUGGGCGUUGAUCCCAAAGGUAGCAUACGCAGGGAAGUUCGAUCAGGUGGUCGAGGUACGCAGGGCACAGAAGAUGGUGGAGUUAGCCUCCAAUUGAUAUUCGAAAUGUUACAGGGCCAACAAGCCGCUAUAGCACAACUACAAAAUCAGCAUCGAAUACCGAGUAGGAUCGAACCAGAAGUCGUCCACAGGACCAAUCCUAAGCCGGAAAGGUUGAACGCCAACGAAUCGGGAACUGACCCCGCCAUUAUGAAAAUGCUCGAGGAGCUCACUAAACGGAUUGAUUCAGGAGAAAAGAAAAUCGAGGCAAAUGACAAGAAAGUAGAGACAUAUAACUCCCGGGUUGACCAAAUACCGGGGGCUCCGCCGAUUCUAUAGGGUAUUGAUUCAAAGAAAUUUGUACAGAAGCCUUUCCCUCCAAGUGAGGCUCCGAAACCCAUUCCGAAGAAAUUCCGAAUGNNNNNNNNNNNNNNNNNNNNNNNNNNNNNNNNNNNNNNNNNNNNNNNNNNNNNNNNNNNNNNNNNNNNNNNNNNNNNNNNNNNNNNNNNNNNNNNNNNNNNNNNNNNNNNNNNNNNNNNNNNNNNNNNNNNNNNNNNNNNNNNNNNNNNNNNNNNNNNNNNNNNNNNNNNNNNNNNNNNNNNNNNNNNNNNNNNNNNNNNNNNNNNNNNNNNNNNNNNNNNNNNNNNNNNNNNNNNNNNNNNNNNNNNNNNNNNNNNNNNNNNNNNNNNNNNNNNNNNNNNNNNNNNNNNNNNNNNNNNNNNNNNNNNNNNNNNNNNNNNNNNNNNNNNNNNNNNNNNNNNNNNNNNNNNNNNNNNNNNNNNNNNNNNNNNNNNNNNNNNNNNNNNNNNNNNNNNNNNNNNNNNNNNNNNNNNNNNNNNNNNNNNNNNNNNNNNNNNNNNNNNNNNNNNNNNNNNNNNNNNNNNNNNNNNNNNNNNNNNNNNNNNNNNNNNNNNNNNNNNNNNNNNNNNNNNNNNNNNNNNNNNNNNNNNNNNNNNNNNNNNNNNNNNNNNNNNNNNNNNNNNNNNNNNNNNNNNNNNNNNNNNNNNNNNNNNNNNNNNNNNNNNNNNNNNNNNNNNNNNNNNNNNNNNNNNNNNNNNNNNNNNNNNNNNNNNNNNNNNNNNNNNNNNNNNNNNNNNNNNNNNNNNNNNNNNNNNNNNNNNNNNNNNNNNNNNNNNNNNNNNNNNNNNNNNNNNNNNNNNNNNNNNNNNNNNNNNNNNNNNNNNNNNNNNNNNNNNNNNNNNNNNNNNNNNNNNNNNNNNNNNNNNNNNNNNNNNNNNNNNNNNNNNNNNNNNNNNNNNNNNNNNNNNNNNNNNNNNNNNNNNNNNNNNNNNNNNNNNNNNNNNNNNNNNNNNNNNNNNNNNNNNNNNNNNNNNNNNNNNNNNNNNNNNNNNNNNNNNNNNNNNNNNNNNNNNNNNNNNNNNNNNNNNNNNNNNNNNNNNNNNNNNNNNNNNNNNNNNNNNNNNNNNNNNNNNNUAUUAUUCGAUCGAGGGUCGUGGAGUAGCUCGGCCUACAAGAUCAGAUCGUACCCGCAACUCGGGUUCUCAAUGGCUUCAACAUGGCGAGUGAAACAACUAAAGGUAAAAUCAUCCUACCAAUAAAUGUAGCCGGAACUAUUCAAGAAACAAAGUUCCAUGUGAUUGAGCGCGAUAUGAGAUACAACGCACUGCUCGGAAGACCCUGGAUUCACAACAUGAGGGCGGUCCCCUCAACCCUUCAUCAAAUGUUGAAGUUCCCGACACCGGAUGGAGUAAAAAUGGUGCAUGGGGAACAGCAUGCUUCCAUAGAGAUGUUCGCAGUCAACGAAGUAAUAUCGGUAUCGGCGCUUUCGUCAACAAAGGGAUCGGAGUCCAAAGGAAAAUACGAAGCUAAAUAGCAACCACAGCUACCAGCUUCGACUCAGUCGGGGAAGCAGGGAACGGAUGAGGACGAUGACUACUGGAUCCCUUGAUCCGUCAUAAUCCCCCGAGGAUUCCGACGCCACCAAAUUGACAGUCGAGGAGUUGGAGCAAAUCAUAUUGAUCGAGCAUCUACCAGAUCGAAAGGUAUACCUGGGUACGGUGUUAACCCCCGAGCUCAAGGAAAAACUCGCUAAAUUUCUUCUCAAUAAUAUGGAUUGUUUUUCUUGGUCCCACCUAGAUAUGACAGGGAUCCCGCCGGAAAUCGCUACACAUCGACUAAGCUUGGACCCGAAGUUCCGCCUGGUAAAACAAAAGAGAAGGCCCCAGUCCGAGGUAAAACAUGCAUUCAUCAAGGACGAGGCAACCAAACUUCUCAAAAUAGGAUCCGUUCGGGAGGUAAAAUAUCCCGAAUGGUUAGCAAAUGUAGUCGCAUUCCCUAAAAAGGGAAAUAAAAUUAGAAUGUGCGUAGCCUAUAAAUAUUUAAACAAAGCAUGCCCUAAAGAAUUUUUUCCUCUACUGAAUAUCGAUCGCAUGAUCGAUGCCACGACCGGACAUGAGAUCCUUAAUUUUCUCGAUGCCUACUUUGGGCUCAAUCAAAUACAAAUGAACCUGGAGGAUCAGGAAAAGACUUCGUUUAUCACUAAGUACGGCACCUAUUGUUAUAAUGUAAUGUUGUUUGGACUAAAGAUUGUUUGUGCCACUUAUCAACGCUUAGUAAAUCGAAUGUUCGAAGAAUAAAUAGGUAAGUCAAUGGAGGUUUAUAUUGACGAUAUGCUAGUUAAGUCCCUGCGAGCAGAGGACCAUUUGACAUAUUUGCAGGAGACCUUCGAUAUACUAAGGAAAUACAAUAUGAAACUCAACCCGGAGAAAUGUGCAUUCUGGGUCGGCUCAGGAAAGUUCCUCGGCUUUAUGGUAUCGAAUCGGGGUAUCGAGAUCAACCCCGAUAAUAUCAAGGAAAUCGAAGACAUCACAGUCGUGGACAAUGUUAAAGCUGUACAAAGAUUAACAGGGCGUAUAGCCACCCUAGGCCGAUUCAUCUCGAGGUCUUCAGAUAGAAGUCACAAGUUCUUCUCACUGCUCAAAAAUAAGAACAAUUUUGCAUGGACCCCGGAAUGCCAACAAGCAUUGGGAGAAUUAAAGCGGUACCUCUCGAGCCCGCCACCACUUCAUACUCCAAAAGCAGACGAACAACUCUACUUGUACUUAGCAGUCUCGAAAAUGGCGGUAAGUGGGGUCCUAGAUCGAGAAGAGUAAGGUACGCAAUUUCCUAUUUACUAUGUUAGUCGAACUUUAGGUGAGGUCGAAAACCGAUACCUACACUUAGAAAAAUUAGCGCUUGCCCUAAUAAGCGCCUCUAGGAAAUUAAAACCAUAUUUUCAGUGUCAUCUGAUCUGUGUGGUGGCUACUUAUCCCCUUCGCAAUAUUUUGCAUAAGCCCGAACUUUCGGGCUGAUUGGCCAAAUGGGCCGUCGAGAUCAGUGGGUACGAUAUCGAGUAUCGACCCCAAACAGCCAUCAAGUCUCAAAUCUUAGCGGACUUUGUGGCCGACUUUACACCAGCCCUCGUACCCGAGGUCGAAAAAGAACUAUUAAUAAAGUCGGGUACAUUAUCGGGGGUGUGGACCCUCUUCACAGACGGUGCUUCAAACACGAAGGGGCCCGGGUUAGGCAUCGUUUUAAAGCCACUCACGGUUAAUACAAUUAGACAAGCUAUCAAAACUGCCAAGUUAACUAACAGUGAGGCCGAGUAUGAGGCCAUGAUUGCAGGUCUCGAGCUAGCUAAAGGUUUGGGAGCAGAAGUCAUCGAGGCCAAAUGUGACUCCCUGCUUGUGGUAAACCAAAUCAACAGAACCUUCGAGGUUCGAGAAGAUCGAAUGUAUAGAUACUUGGAAAAACUACAAGUGACUCUACAUCGGUUUAAAGAAUGGACCUUAUAGCAUAUGCCUCGAGAACAAAACAACGAGGCUGAUGCCCUCCCAAAUUUGGGUUCAUCAGUCAAAGACGAUGAGAUUAGCUCGGGGACUGUCGUAUAACUUUCAAGUUCAGUAAUCGAAGAAGUCCACACCGAAAUCAACUCCAGAAGUCUGACCUGGGAUUGGAGGAACAAAUAUAUCGAAUACCUAAAGAACGGAAAGCUUCCAUCGGAUCAUAGGGAAUCGAGGACUCUACAUACGAAGGCCGCACGAUUCACAUUGGCUGGAGACGGAACACUGUAUAGAAGGAUGUUCGAUGGACCAUUGGCAAUAUGUUUAGGACCAGGAGAUACCGACUACGUCCUACGAGAAAUCCACGAAGGAAUCUGUGGAAAUUAUUUCGGUGCCGAAUCAUUGGUUUACAAAGUCAUCAGAGCAGGAUACUAUUGGGCUGAUAUGGAAAAGGAUACAAAAGAGUUUGUUCAAAAGUAAGACAAAUGUCAAAGGUAUGCACUGAUGAUUCAACAACCCGGAGAGAAACUCCACUCAGUCUUAUCCUCAUGGCCAUUCAUGAAAUGGGAAAUGGAUAUCGUCGGCCCCCUACCAUCGGCCCCAAGUAAAGCUAAAUUUAUUUUAUUUAUGACUGACUAUUUCUAUUUCUCUAAUUGGGUUGAAGCACAGGCUUUCGAGAAAAUUAGAGAGAAAUAAGUCAUAGAUUUCAUCUGGGACCACAUUAUAUGCUGAUUCGGGAUGCCUGCCGAGAUCAUAUGCGAUAAUGGAAAGCAAUUCAUUGGCAGCAAAGUGACAAAGUUUCUCGAAGAUCGCAAAAUAAAGAGGAUCCUAUCAAUGCCAUAUCAUCCUAGUGGGAACAGAUAGGCCGAAUCGACAAACAAGACCAUCAUUCAAAAUCUAAAGAAAAGAUUGAACGACGCUAAGGGAAGAUGGAGAGAAAUAUUGCCCGAAGUCCUUUGGGGGUAUCGAACAACGUCAAAAUCCAGUACGGUGGCAACACCAUUCUCUUUAGUAUAUGGCACCGAAACUCUGAUCCCGGUUGAAGUCGGGGAACCUAGCGUCAGGUUUUGAUAUGCAACGGAAGAGUCAAAUCAUGAGGCUAUGAAUACAAGCCUUGAAUUGCUAGAUGAAAAACGGGAAGCCGCCUUAGUUCGGAUGGCCGCACAGAAACAGCGGAUCGAAAGCUACUACAAUCGAAGAUCCAAUCUUCGACACUUUAAAAUUGGGGACUUGGUUCUGAGGAAGGUCACCCUCAAUACUCGAGACACAAACGAAGCAAAACUUGGACCGAACUGGGAGGGACCGUAUCAGGUCCUCGAUAUCAUAGGAAAGGGAUCCUAAAAACUUGGCACGAUGAACGGCGAACAAUUACCAAACAAUUGGAAUAUAUCACUCCUCAAACGAUAUUACUACUAAGGUACGACCUUCUCCAUUUUCAUUUAUAUUUUAUACUAACGAUUUGUAGGUGUUUAAUCUAAGACAUCGAAAGAUUCGUCAAACACAAAGUCCUUAGGUCUGAAAGCACGCGUUGCACUCUUUUUCCCUUAGACCGAUUUUUGUCCCAAAUGGGUUUUUCCAGCAAGAUUUUUAAUGAGGCAACCAUUGUUCAUGCUAACUUAGAGCAAUUCAACAGUAUCCGAGGCUCUUUUACAAUCAACCUCGGAUAUUAGGGGGCAUCACCCUCGGAUAGGAAAAUACUUCGUGCCGACAGGGUCUCGAUAGAAAAAUUUUAUAAGGGUCAAAUGGUCGAACGAACCAUGCCCAUGUAGAUUACUCGAGCCCUAAUGGAAAACAUGUAUGCAUGUUAAUAUAUUGAAAAAAGUAUUUUUCCUUGCCAGAUAUUUCAUGCCUUAGAGAAAUGUUUACUUUACAAUGUCAUGUUUGUGAUCUGUUGUGGAAACUAACUUAAGGGUCGGUCACAACUAAAGUUCAAACAAUUGACUCCACACUCGGGGAAUUCUAUCUAAAGAAUCGACAUAAUCGAAUUACUAAAACCUAGAAAUCGUAAGACCUCAAAAAAGGCAACCCUCAAUUUUAUAGGCCACGGCUACCCUACUCGGGGACUGAUACUUCGAACAAGUUCGAAGUAUAAUAGGGGAACAAGCCCAAAAGUUGAAUCCCAAGUUAAUACGGCCAAAUUAACACGGUUCGGAUACGUCCUAUUUCCGUUAUAAAACAGGCCUUCGAAUAUUUUCAUAAACCGGUAAAAAAGGCUACCCUCGGCUGAAUUACUAAGGGUCUCGAUAAUAUCAACCCUCGAAAACCCUAAUGGGUACAAAGUCGUUCGAACUCUCGAACAAAUUCUUUAUUUCAUUCUAAGGCACAAAAGAUUUUAUAUGACUAAACAAUAAACUUUUCAAGUCGAAAAGGGGGAGAAAGCCAUUCUUUUUACUAUGGUCGUAUCGGCCUAAUUCAAGAGCCUAAAGGGCUAUUUUAUUUUUGAGUUUGAGAAAUCAUCCUCACUCAAUUAAAACCUAAGGGUAACCUUACUCCGAGUUCGAGCAAGUAUUCACUCGAUUAUAAAAACUACACUAGUCCGGCUUCGAUCAAAUUGCCUAAACCUUGAACUUAUAAAUAAAAUUCUCAUAAGGCAUGAAUGAAACAAAAUUUUCACAAGGCAGAAAAUGAAAUAAAGACAAGUUGGAAAGAGAUCUUUAUAUAUAUGAGAAUAUUUACAAGGUCCGAUCAGGAUCCUACACAAAAGAUCAAAAGUGAAAAAUCCUAAGGUUCCUAAUUNNNNNNNNNNNNNNNNNNNNNNNNNNNNNNNNNNNNNNNNNNNNNNNNNNNNNNNNNNNNNNNNNNNNNNNNNNNNNNNNNNNNNNNNNNNNNNNNNNNNNNNNNNNNNNNNNNNNNNNNNNNNNNNNNNNNNNNNNNNNNNNNNNNNNNNNNNNNNNNNNNNNNNNNNNNNNNNNNNNNNNNNNNNNNNNNNNNNNNNNNNNNNNNNNNNNNNNNNNNNNNNNNNNNNNNNNNNNNNNNNNNNNNNNNNNNNNNNNNNNNNNNNNNNNNNNNNNNNNNNNNNNNNNNNNNNNNNNNNNNNNNNNNNNNNNNNNNNNNNNNNNNNNNNNNNNNNNNNNNNNNNNNNNNNNNNNNNNNNNNNNCUCCAUCAAGGUCCCCCCCCCCUCCCCCCCCGCUCUCGGACCCGCUCUUACUCCGCGUCAUCGUUAUCAUCAUUGGAGGCCAGCACUCCAGCAUCAACUUUAUGCUCUCUAGCCUUUAUUAUCUUGUUGGUAAGAUCAAAAUCUCGAGCGUGGAUCUCCUCGAGGGUUUCCUCCGAGAUUGGCAUUUGGCGAGUUCAGCAAUCCAAUGUGCUCGAGUUUGAGCGGUCUCGGCUGCCUCUCUCUCUUGGACUUGAGCAGCUUCAGCAUUGUCCCGGUAGACGGUCACGAUCGCAUCGGUCUCGGCUUUAGCCUUUUUGGCUUUAGAUUUGGCCUUUGCAAGUUCGGAAGCCAACCGAGCUUCGACCUCCUCUAUUUUCUUUUCCUGAGUCGAUCUCUUCUCCUUCAUGCCUUGAAGCUGACUUUCGACCGAUGACAAUUGGGUUCGAGCAGUCUCAUUUUCUGCAGCAAGGCAGUCCAUACCUUCUUUCCACCCUAAGGACUAUGUCUUCAUCAUGUUGAUCUCCUCACGAAACUGCUCGAUCCUCUCGACCUUCUAUUGUAGUUGUGAGAGUGAAAUGUUAGCCACCGUUCCUGAAUUGAGCCCAUGAGCUUUUAAGAUUUUCAUUACCUGCUCGAUCAGCUCGGUCUUAUCUUUGUGAGUCGUGGCCAACUCAGCUCGGAGGUCCUUGAUCUCUUCUUCUUUUUGCCCACCGAGAAGGUUGAGGGCAUUCCUCUCCUCGGUAAGCCUUUGAAUGUCGGCCUCGUACCAACUCAGUUCAGCUCGGGACCGAGAAAAUGCUUCCCGAUGAAGCACUGAGGCCUACGCAGAAAGAAGAAAAGAAGUUAGAAAUGAACACAAGGGUAAUACCAACAAGGGGAAUUAAGGCUUACCCGAUUCAGAGCUUGCUGCGCUUCAUUGUAAAGACUCGAUGCCCCGCCCAAGUACUUCUUCGAGACCUCCAAGUCGCUCAGGCCGGUAGCAUCUUCAACCCCAGUAAAGUAAUCAUAGAAUUGGUCCUCCCUUCCGUGGGCUCCUUCGAUAGAGAGGAUCUUCAAGGCCCGAGCCUCUUGAAUCAUCUCCUCAGAAAACGAGGGGAGCAGCGGGGAGCCUCCAAUUUCUAUUGCCUCAAGUGGAUAACUUGGGGCGUAUUCUCCAUCUCGAGGGGCCUCGAGACCAGCCCCUAUAGCUGUACCCACCGUUGGCUCAUUAUGGUGGAGGCAUCUUCAAUCCUCGAGGACUCGGGAACUUCGCCCAAGUCUCUUCUCGAGACCCCCUCAUCUCGAGACGGAGUCUCUGCAGCCUUCACCGAUUCAAUGACCUUUGGGGCCUCGGUGCUUAUUCCCACUCGGGCCACCAGCUCGGAGUCGGCUUCUUCCUCUUCUUCGUCUUUCUCCCUUAGACGCCGAACAGAGUUUUCGGUCAGGAGGAUGAUGUUCUUCCUCGACUUACGAGUCGCCUUCUUCUUAGGUUCUGGAUCCUCGGAGGUUGAGGUCUUUUUCCUCUUUUUGUCCUUCGCCGGUUUCGGUGCGGGGAUCGAAGUCUCCUACUUACCAGAUAAGGGCCUUAUGACAGCAUCUCUUCCAAGGCCUGUAUGAAAAGAAAUUAAGUAAGAAAUGCUUUAACAAAAUCAUCAAAGACGUGGAAAAGGGGCUUACCAGGAGUUUUGGCCUCCCAUCAGCCCUUUGAUAAAUCGCGCCAUGAGCGCUCGACAUACGUAGAGGUCAAGGCCAGGUCCCGAACCCAGCUCUUGAGGUUAGAAAUUGCACCGAACAUUCAAGCGACCGCUACAUCACGGAAAAGGAUAUCGAUGAGAAGAAGCAAAGGAGCAAAACAAUAAAUAAGAGCUAACAAUAGGAUUGUACUUACGCUUCAUAUUCCAUUUCUCGGAAAAUGGCAUUUUCUCGGCCGGGAUCAGGUCGGAAGUCCUCACUCGAACGAACCAGCCCAUCCAGCCUCGGUCCUUGUCCUCGUCUAUGCUCGAGAAUAGCACUUUGGUAGUCCGGCAUUGGAGUUUUAUCAACCUACCUCGAUAUAGGCGGGGGUUGUACAACCUGAUGAGGUGGUCGAGGGUGAAAGGUAUCCCCUCGACUUUGCUCACAAAGAAUUGGAGCAGAAUAACAAUUCGCCAAAAGGAAGGAUGGACUUGGCCUAGGGUUAUUUGAUAUUGACGGCAAAAAUCAACGAUGACGGGGUCGAGGGGGCCCAGCGUGAAAGGGUAAGUAUAAACACUUAGAAACCCUUCCACAUGGGUGGUGAUGUCCUCUUCGGGGGGUCUGGAUCACUACCUCUUUGCCCUCCCAGUUGCAGUCUUUCUUUACAUGCUUAAGGUAUCCCUCGGUUAUCGAGCAUAUAUACCUCGACACUGGCUCGCAUCGACCGAGAAUCGAUGAGGGUUUAUCGGUCUUAAAGUCGGAAUUGAGGACGCACCCCCCGGGAACACACUCCUCAGGGCGCGGCUCCACCGGUGUUUUGUCGCCGGCCGGCCGCGAUGAAGAAGCAUUUUCCUUUUAAAGAAUAGUUUUUGACGUUUUCGCCAUUUGGAUUUGAACUUAAAAAUAUAUGGAGAUGAUAAGAUUUGGUAUUCUAAGAAGAGGUUAGCAGUGAAAAUCGUAGAUUUGCAGAUGAAGAACUUAGAAGAUGUAAAAAGCUUUGGAGAUUGGAAAUUUGAAAGAAAAAGUUCGAAAUAGUGAAGAGAGGAGCUAUUUACAGAUUUCACAACGACGGUUCAAAAUUGGCUGUGGCCGACCAUCGACUGACCUGCAUAUAAUGCCUUGGUAACUGUACAGACGGUACGUUUCAGUCACUUCCGUCGCUUACGUCACGAGGAUGAUGUUAUGACAAGUCGAGGUAGAAAAAUCGAAGGCUCAAUCCAUUUCUUGUCAUUACACUCCAAAAAAUGAGGGGACUAUCUAUAUACGGUUAAAACCGGGCCCACCCGAUUUUACUAUUUGACCGAGACCGGGAGAUUGUAUCAAAGGACGGCCUCGUAACGGAACAGACUAAAUCACGAGGACUAUGUACCGAGUUCAGAACCGAGGUAUCUGUCGAGAUCGAGGCUAGUAGCGAUCAAAGCCAAAUGAGACAGACAUCGAGCAAGAUCGAAGAUAGCAUAAUAACAGAAAGGCGAGAUAUUCGUGACUGGUCGAGGAUCACGGCAUAAACCUCGGUGACUAGUCGAGGAUCAUGGCGUAACUCUCAGAACGGAUCAAAUUAGAAACGGUUAAUUAGUUAAUCAUGGGAUUUCCUUCUAUAAUUAGAAUCAUACCAUAAGUAGGAUUCCUCUACUAUAUAAAUGGGGGUUCUAAUCAUUUGUACGACAUGGUUGACAGAUAUAAAAGGCAAUAUAAUUCUCUUUCUCGUUUAUACUAUUGUUCAUCAGCUUGUUAUACUUUAAUGGUUCUGGCAUCAACUAGUUCGAGGGUAUCCAAACUCGAGGGCUGAGUUCCAUUCUAAUACCGGUUUGCUUUACUUUAUUGUUAAUUUCUAUUACCCAUCCUCACAUUUAUCAAUUGGUAUUAGGUGAAAUCACGUGUCCUUAGAACCAUAUUAUAAGUUUAAUUGUUAUCCAAUUUAAAGGGUAAACGGAAAUAUAAUUCAUAGUGUCACAAAUAACGAUUAAGGAAAACAAACUUAGUUCGAGCAUGAAUCGAUCCGAGAACAAUGGCUUACCAAUGCAUCUGCCAUUGGCCCCGUUUCACCUGAAAGCACACUCCUUAGUACCUCAGCAUUAUGCUCUGGCCCUCCUCCGCGGAGGUCCCCUAAUGUGCAGCGAGGUAUACCUAAAUCGACUGCAAUAACAUACGCGAACGUUUAGCUAUUGAAUUUGACACUGAGUAAUCUAGAGUCAACAUGCCACAACUGAUGCAGAUUGCUCGUGUACCUGAGAACCCUCGUUUUCUUUUGCACUGCAAUCAGUACUAGCAACAGCACAAGCAAUCAAACGGACAUGUGUGCAAAAGCCACAGAGAGUGCAACUUCAAUGGAUCAUAUCUUUGCAUUAAUCAAGUCUACUCCGACUAAUUUUGGUAUGGACUGAAGUCUGGAUGAUGAAAUAAAGAAAUGCUCUAUAUUAUCUUGCAUAACUUGUGGUAAUGAAUUACCAUCUUGUUAAAGAAUGAUUCUGCAAAUUAUGUUCGUUCUGAAACUUGAACUAGCAGGUGUACACACAGUAUACAGUCUCCGAACAAACAAAACAAAUUAGUACGACGAAUUUGAGAAUUUGCAACCAGAUCUCUAGCAAACAUUACUUUGAAUAAGAACUGCACGAAUAAUUACACUAGAAGCCGAGAAGAAAGAUUCUUACGUGGGUCAAAAGAAAAUUUCUCUAUCUUUUCAGGUGUAACAUCAAGGACUGCUCCAGGUCCUGUCCAUUCCCACUGCGUGAUUGAUAAAACCAAUGAAAACUUAUACAUAUAAUACAACAGAGAAAAUCUUACCAAGAGAACUCAUUUCAUCUAAACCUUCAAAAUGGACAACUAACGCUCUCUUCAUGCCAUAACUUUGUAGUGCUUUGGCCAUCUUGCUGACCUCACAGACAAUUUACAUAAACUUGAUAGGUUCAACCUUUAAGAUUUUUGCCACCAGAACCAUCACGCUAUAUAUUAUUACCGUACUAUAGUGUCGGCUCUAAUGUUGUAGUAUAAUAAGGCUUCUGCCUUAGGCCCCAAAUUUGGGAGGCCCCAUUUUUUAAUAAAAAAUAUUUUGUACUUUUAGUACAAAAGUAGACUUCCUCAUAUAAAAGGAAAGAAUUUUUUUUUUUUUUUUGCUAUGUAAAUAAAGUAAUUGUUUGGCCUACUUAAAAAUGGAUAGUAUGAAUAAUUAACAUGUGAAUUGGAAUUUAUUUGAUAAGGAAAAUAGUAUAACUAGAAUAGACUACUCUAAUCGACAUACUCAAUGAAAUAAAAAGACUUUUCUUUUCCAAAUGCUUAUAUUGCUUAUAGAAAAAUAUUAAUAGUUCCUAUAACAGUUGCCUAAGAGAAAGAAGUUAUUCAAAAUUAAAAUUGAUAAAAUCUUAGCUAAGAUCAAUAAUGUCUCAAGAAAGAUUAAAUGGGUUGGCUAUAUUAGUUGGAAAAAAAUUAUUUGAAAAAAUAUUAAUUAUAAAAAUAUUACUAACAACUUUGCAUCUCAAAAAUCUAGAACAAUAGACUUCAAAAUAGAAAUAUAUAUUAUAACCUUUUUAAAAAAAAUAAUAGGCCUCACAUAAAACUUUAGCCUUAGGCCACACAUGUGCUUGAGCGGCAUUGCCGUAUAAAAUCAUACCAUAGAAAGCAUAAACACAGUCGUCAGUUUUUUCUUUAGUUCAAGGACGAAAGCUUACAAUAUCUUGUUUGUAAACUCCAACAACAGCAAAAGGUACCCAAGCAGGGUUCAGAAGAGGACCUAGGAUAUUAAAUAUCGUCUUCACUCGAAGCUUCCUCCUCACAGGUGUGACAAUCUUCAUUGCUGGAUGGUAGUAUGGAGACAUCAUAAAACUGUUUAACCCAAAAAAUAAUUUUCAAGGUCAAAGUAAUAAAUUUUAUAUGACGGGCCACAAGCUACCGAUUCGAUCCGAAAGAUAUAAAUCUCCAUUAAUACAACGUGAUAGAGAUGUGAAAAAUAAAUUCAAUGACAAAUAAUAUAAUAAAAAUAAAGCAGAGAAGAAAUAAUUCUUAUUGAAUGAUCCUUGAUAGGAUGAUGAGCCGAACAGAACUUGAAGGGUCAAACUAUGUCUAACUUGGGAGCAAGAUGCUAUAAAUUACAAUGUAUAGAGCUGUAGAGAAGAAAAUUAGAUGACCACAAUGGUGAUAAAAUGUGUCUAAGGGCUAAAUCUAAGUAACUAUUCUCCUUGAAUUAUAUGUCCAUUAUGAGCAUUUACUCUAUCCAUCCGUUACUUUUGGAGGACUUGUAACAGCUGUGUAAAUUCUGAAAUUCCAUAACUGAUGAGUUAAUUUCGUAACUGAUGAGUUAAUUCCAUAAUUGGUGAGUCAAUCUCGUGCAUGUUGAGUCAGUCUCGUGCAUGUUGAGUCAAUCUUAUAAUUUAUUGUCUUGUUCUGAGCAUUACAACCAUUUAUUAUAUUUAUUGUACGUUACAUAAUUGAUUUAUAAUUAAUGGCAUAAUGAUAGUAAAUCUCAUGUAAUCCGGGAUUAAUUAAUUCUUUCCUUGUAAUUAUGAGCUAUUCUCCCGUAACUAAUCCGAAGCUAUUCUAUGAUAGUCAGUUCCGAGACUCACAGGCACGGUACGAGUAUGCCCGGUCUCGAGGGUAUUUCACAUGUCACAUGUACAUGUCAUUCUUCACUUUUCUCAUAACUUUGUUGAUAUGUGUCGCCAUUUAAUAGACCCACGUGACGAGUCUAUUUUUCACUAAUACAGAUAGUCCCCCCACUUUUUGGUUACUCACUGUGAUGUGACUGAAAAGUGGAAGAUUUUAUCUUUUUCACCCUCGCCUCUGCCUCAUUAACAACCUUACCGGCAAAACUCAAUAGGGACAAAAAUCGGGCGAAAGAAAAAAGAAUGCAGAACUUAAAGAUUCAGAUGAAAACUCCGCCACUUAUGUUCCUUUCGUCAAUAAUCGGUUGGUGAUGAAAAAGUACUACAACCACAGAAAGCUUAAUCUCGGAUUUUUAGUGUUCAUCCAGAACUUUUAAUCUUUGAGUUUUGACUCUUGGGUUUUUAGUUGUACCCGAAACUUUUAUAACCUCACAACCUUAGAGACUGAGGAUGUUAAUAACCAAGAAUUGUUUACUUCUGAUUUUGAUAAAAUCCAAAAAUUUGAUACAUCCGGUUAACUUUACGAUCGAGAAACAACGCAUCCGACGGUUAGCCAUUUGAUUGGAUGAUUUUUGAAGACGAGUACUAUGGGUACUAAUCUCGAGAGAGUCCUUGCACAUCUUCCAGAGAAAAGAUUUGACAAGGGAAGUAAAGAGCUUUUCGAGGAUAGUCAGAGUAAUCCCGAACCAAUCCUCAGCUUACUCAAUUUCGUCUCCAAGCGAGAUGAUUUUUCCAUUAUCAUGGCGGAUGAUAGAGAGACAUCUCUUAUUUGAGAAAGAUAUAAGUACUGCAAAUUUAAGUAAUGUAAUCACGCUUGUCUAGCUAUCAUUUGGUUCUUUAGGGAAUUUAUCCGAGUACUAAUUUUUCUUGGCACUUUAAAAAUUUAUCCAAGUGCUCAUAUUUAGUCUUAUAGACUUAAAAUAUAUAUUUGGAUGCAUCAUUUCAUGUGCGAUGUCUUAAAGUUGCACCUUUGGGUGUCUAACUUUUAAAUAAAAGAGGGCCCUUUUAUAUAUUUUAAAUGCUAUGAAGAGGGUGUCUCCUUUUCACUUAGGCGUAAAUUGGAUCGACUGAUCCGAGUAGACUUUUAGUCUGAGGGAGUAUUAAUCCCGAUAGAAUUUAUGGGAGUAUUGACCCUAUUAAGAUUUACGGGAGUAUUCAUCCCGGUAAGAUAUUGAGUCUGAGGGAAUAUUGAUCCCGAAUAAAUGUAUAUCUUAGUAGAUUAGUCCCCAAGAGACAUCUAUUAAGAUUUACGGGAGUAUUCAUCCCGGUAAGAUAUUGAGUCUGAGGGAAUAUUGAUCCCGAAUAAAUGUAUAUCUUAGUAGAUUAGUCCCCAAGAGACAUCUAAUCUGAUUGGAUGUUGAAUCCAAAUUGGAGUAUAUGAACAUACUUUCAAGUAGAGAGGGCCACAUGUCCGAAAUAAUAUUUGAUAUUUUUAUUUAUAUAUAUGGGAUAAUCGAUCUGAGUCAUAAUACAAUCAGCCGUUAAGAAAAUAUUAUAUAUAUAUAUAUAUAUAUAUAUAACUUGAAUGGUCGUUGUUGGACCGAAUAUAAGUCACGUGUUUGUUCAAACUGAACUUUAUUCUGGUGACAUAUUUGCGUAUAUUUAUUUUGACUUGGAUAUAAAACUCUCUUUUUUUUUAUUGUGGGAUUCUUGACUCUGACAUGGAGUUCUCGGUCUUUUUUUUGUAUAUGUAAUACAUAUAUUUUUAAAGAAUUGGUUCAACACUAUUUGAAGUGUUUAUGCUUUGUAGUAUCCCAGAAAAUUUUGAAGUGCUUAAACUCUAUUAAGAAAGUUGAUGUGUGCUAAUUAUAUUAUUUUAUGUACAGACGAGGACUAUUAAUAUGAUGGAUAUUAAUUGAAUAUGAUAAUAAGUGUACGAGGCAUAUUAUAAGUGAUGUGGGGUCUAAGGAUAGCCCUGAGUCCAAGUCAAGUUAGAAAUUACAGAUAGACUAAAGUUCCAAAUGAGUACACACAAGACCUAACUUUGGAUGAGUAUACCUAGAUAUAUAUUAGGAGUUUGUGGGGGGUACAACAUAUCAAAUGAAAUGUCUUCGAGUCUAGUUUCUAACGCUUCAAACCGUUUGUCAUUUGGACAUUCAUACAAGAAGUUAUGAUCAAAUUACCGAAGGCUGGCAGUGAAGUGCUGCCAUAGCGUCCGAGUCCGCAUCCGAGCUUCGAAGAGGAGUGAACUGGGGAUGCGAAGCAUCCGGGACCGCGUCCGAAACCCAGAAAUCUGGGCUUAUAAGUACAAAAUCGAGGGAGGAGAGUAUUUUUAGUAUUGGGGGUUAGGGUUCUUGAGGCGAAGGGGUGAUUUUAAGCUCAAAUCAAGUCCAACCAACUAAGGUAAGUUGUUAAUGAUAUUUUUGGUUGAUUCUUACUCAAUAUACAUGAGUUCUAAUAUCAUUCUUGCAUCCAAAUACUAGAUUUCAUCAUCAAAUCCUCAAGAACACAAAAAUCACCAAAGUUUUGAUUUGCCAAGAUUGAUCUACUAGAGGUAAUUCCAAUGCUUCAAACUCGUUUAUUAUGAGUAGUUAGAGGUAUUUGAAGCAUUUGUUACAAGUUUUAAUGGUUGAAAAAAUGAAUUAUAAAACUCUAGUUCAUGGCAUGAAUAGUACUUUUGAGAAAAUAAGAGAGAAGCUGAAUAGUAAUCUUGGGGAUGAAAUUGAUGAAUAUAAUGAACCUAUGGAAUUAUUUGUUAGCAAAAGUUGGAGGUGAUCAACUAACUAAUCACCUGAAUUGUACAUUUUGUAAGUGUUGACUAUGGAAGACGAUGAAUAGUAACUUGGUAGCAUUAAACAAUUGAUGUAGUAUCAUUAAUGACUUCGAAUGGGUAUUAAAAUAUAAGAAUAAAGUUGAAUGGACUAGCAUAUGACUCUAUUCGGCGAUUUGAGUUGUUGGGGGCUUGUAGCCAACUUAUGAGCCAUAAAUGGUUAUUGAUAAAUAUUUUAAGUCAUAUUUUGAUGUAAUUAGGAUAUCUAAUUGUAGAUAUCUACUUGUUGGUGAUAUUUGAGUAUUUUAAUCAACAUUGGAAUGAUGGAAAAGGAUUGAAAGAUUGUGAAUGUUAAUAAAGCGAAAAAGAGGUAAGUUGACUAAAACCUACUCUUCUUGAGGGACUUUCUCUAAAAGCAUGUUUCGAGUUAAUACUUAAAUUGUUUGUAAAUGUGCUUUCGUGCUUGUGAGUACAAACAAGUAUAGAUGUCUCCAUGUACAAAAAUAUUAUGUUGCAUAUGUAGUGUCAUGUUGCUUUAUAAAAUUUUAUUUUUAAUCUUGUUGGCAAACUAUCAAAACUUUUGUAUUGACAAGAGUAUACAUAUUUAAGUGCUAAAAAUAAGUUUUCAUGAAAAGUAUUCCUUUUGGAAAUUGAUAAGCAGAAUAGCAUUUGUAGUAUCUUUUAAAGAUUGAUGUUAAAUUGCUAAAGGCUUUAACAUGUAAAAAGGUUGUUUAUUUAAAUUUUGUUCAAAUGGCUUAUAUUUUUUAUUAAUGCUAUGAUUUGAUAAAAAUAGGCCCUUUGAGGCUACUAUGUUGUGAAUCUAAUUUUGGAAGUAUCAAAUAUUUUGGGAGUUACUUGUAUUCACCUAGAUUGAUUUCGGAUAUAUUGUGUUCGUCGUCAUGAAACUACACGUGCCGGUGUAGGCGUAGACGACCACUUUAUGGUAUAGACUGCGGGAGAGUGCUCUCUCUCGAGAGGGUACUAUUUUGUGCUAUUAUUAGCAUGGCUGAGUCGAUUCGUACGGCACUACGAUGAGACGACCUGAGCAAGUAGGAUAUAUGAUACUUACCUCUAGGUACAUAACCUAGUUGACAUUCUUAUUUCGGUGAUGGUAUAGUACUCCCGGUGAAAGAUAAGGAUGAUUUUCUUAUGUUUAGGCCUAAGGAGUCUAAAGUAAUUUUAAUGACUUAAACACAUUGAAUGAUUUUGUAUGAUUUUAUCCAAAAUCUUGGGUUGAUAUAAAUGUUUUAAAAUAUUUACAUUGUGAGUUAUAUUUCACUUGCCUUUUAUUUAAAAUUACAAGGAUCAUGAAUGGAUAAAAUUUGUUACUGUUUUAUAUUAAAUAUUGAUGCAUUAUUUUUAAUAAAGUUUAUCCCAAGAACUUAAGUUAAAGAGAGUGUAUGACACUUAUUGAGUACCGUUGUGGUGUACUCAGCCCCUAGGGAGCCCCCUCCAGGGUCCCGCUUACUUUACAUAUUUCAAGAUGAGGUAGGAUAUGUGGCAUGCGAUCAGGGCUAUAAUGACUCUCUUCCUGAGAUAUAUGGUGAGGCACCACUCCUAUUUUGUGGUAGCUAUCAUGUUAUUUUCUUAAUUUAUUCUAGUUGGGUAUUAGCCCAAGUAAUUAAUUCUAUUCUUUAGAGGCUCCAUAGAUAGUUGUAAAAAGUUAUAGUAAUGGGGUUGUACACGACAUACAUGAAAAUAUAUUUAUUUUACUUAGUCUCAUUAUUAUUAUCAUGGAAGGCGUCAUGUGUGAUAUUGAAAUUGAAAAAUAUUUUAUCAUUUAACUUGAAAAUGUAUAUAAUUUUCAAGAAGCUUCCAUAGUUAAAUUAGUUUUCAUGCAUAUGAUUUGGGUGCAUCACAUGGUUUGGUUCGCUCGGGUCGGGUGGUGUGUCGGGUGUCGGUCACGUAAUUUUGGAUCGUGACUUGCUUGAUAUGAGCAAGACAACUAACUGAGUUGAGAUGGUGGUAAAUAAUGUCGGAAUACUAUUUGGAAUUCAAUCUCCCAAUGCAAUUGACUGUUUGUAUCACUUCUUAUUAUGUCAGGUCAAAUUGACUAAUCUUCAAGUAUAAGUAAUCCCUCUAGUGUUCUAGUUUUGAGGUAUGAGAACUCAAAACACUGGAAUCAUAAUUUGACAGUCAUCAGUUUAAUAGUCCCUAGUAGGAUAGCAAGUUCUGAUGUUGAUGGACUUUCAAAUGGUCCAGUUCCAAUAUAGGGGCGGUAUCAGAGCUCUUUUUAUUAAAUAUUUUUUACUCUGGUCGGGAACUACAGAGGUUCCAAAAUAUUGUCAAGGAUCAUGUCAUAUCUUGGUUUGAGCUAGUCAUACUGACUUUUAUGAUUUUUAGAAUUAAAGCAUUAUUAUCGGAGUAAUUUUCACUGCUCUCUUUAUAAAUUUCUCGCAUCAGAUAUUCUAUUUGUCUGGGUCCUUAGCUUUGGUACCCUUGAAUAUUCUCCUUAAAUAUGGCAAUACGGGAUGAGACGCACUCAGAGUUAUUGAGAGAGUGCUUGUCUUUGAGAAAAGUCUCAUUCUUCAAGUAAUCAAUAAAUUUAUUGUGCCAAUUUCAAAUUAUGUUAGCCGGGCUUACCUCAUUUUCAUUUUAAUUGAUGAUAGAUCAGGGAUCUCCCAAAUAAGGGAUGACUCGAUCCCGAGACUGUUUGAUCCGGAAUCAGUAUUUCUUUCGCAAUAUGUGAUAUCAGCAGUAGAUCUGAGACUAGUACAUCUGACUCGGUUUUCUCAGGUUGCAUAGUUUUCUUGGAUUUGAUCACGAGUUAAGAAUCAAUCGUUAAAUCAAUAUUUUUGCUCUAAGUCCCCAAACUAAUUCAAGCCCUGUAACAUAUGCUUCAUACUAGGCUUUGUUGUUAGUAAUAAAAUAAAUUUUAUGACUAGUCUAAUUACUUUCCCGAUAGAAUUAAGCAUUGCCCCAAACCUGAAAUUUUUAACACUUGUGGACCUAAUUGUGUAGAAGGUCUAGAUCGUGAGAAUUAUCCCGAAAAUAACAUGUACUUCCUUUUCAGUUUCGGGUAAUAUGUUCGAGCUAAGAUUAACCAUGAAAUCUUCUAAACUUGUGAUUUUAUAGCUGUACGCGGCUGAUAAGUAUCAUAUUCACUAAGUUCGACUACCCGUUUAGCCAGCCUUCCUGACAGUUCAUGCUUAGGCAAAAUAUUGCAUAAUGAAAAUAUAGUGACUACGGGAAUUGGAUGACAUUCAAAAUAAAGCCUUAAAUUGAGGGUAUUUGCUAUCAAUGCCAACAUAGAUAUGCAGUUUUCGUGCCUAAGAUUAUUUUACAAUAGAUAGGAGAUUGUGUACAUUUAUUUUCAUGAAUUAAGAUUUCAUUUACCGAGACCUCCGGGAUAAUUUGGUGUACUAGCAACCAUCUUUCUCCUCGGAAUUUUGAAAGUAAUGAUAGGCUGAUGUUAGCUAGCGAGUCCGGAUGAUUCGACUUUAUGGACUAAAUUGACCUUUCGAAGUUGUGAGCAUCUAAUUUUUGACCAUAUUUGAAUUUCUCAUCACUUUUAGUAUUUAAAUAGUUUAAGUUUAAUCUUUAUAUACUUUAGUUUUUGUUUCACCUUUUAUAGGUUUUCUUUGAGAAAAUUAAAAACCAAAAAUAAAAGAGUCACUUCGACUUUGUUUAAUAUAUUUCCUAUUAUAUCAAGUUAUCUUAGCUUAUUAUUAUAAAUAGAAAAAAAAUAUUUUAAAAAAAAAAUUAAAGAAGAGAGACGUUUGAAGCAAAAAGCAGAAAACAAGAAAAGUAGAUUUAUAAGGAAAAAGAUUCUUUUCACUUUUUAAAAUGUGGACCCCCACCUUAUCCCUCUAUAAUAAACUCCAUCUGUACCAUAUUACAAAAGUCACCAAAAAAAAAAAGAAAAUCGGGCCCCAAGCUUCUUUUUCACACAUUCUAUAUAGGGAGAAAACCUAGAACUUAAGGAGGGCCGCCACUCACUGCUUCUUCUUCCUUAGGUGAUAUUAUUUUUCCUCCUCACUAAAACUCUAUGAGUCACUGAAAAUCAGUCAUAAAAUUAUCCCAAACCCACCCCGAAACAGAUGUAAUUCUACUAGUUCGCCGCUACUGCUUUAGCUGUACAACCACCAGCGAAACAUCAUCCAAAAUAGUCCAUUUUCUCUAUUAAAACCCAGUUGGAAAAUGCACCGAAAAACCCCUUUAAAACCAUCAUAGUUCUUCCUCAAAGCAGCGUGCAAUUGGGUUGAGUUGGGUUUGAGUUCAUGACGAGAAUCCGUUCGUGGUUCCGACGAGGUCUUCCAUCGCGGAUCUAUCACGUGUUGUAGUAGCUGUUAUUCCAACUUUUAUAAAAUUGCUGAUGUUUAGAUCUAAAAUUGACUGUUAUUCCACCAGCGUGCAAGUCUAAAAUUGCUAAGCUCAAGGUCCAUUUCUACUUUAGAUCUUUAUUUCGUGCAUGGCUUGAUGUUUAAUGUUGCUGAGAUUAUAUUACUUGAGCACUGUUUAUAUAUUUAUGUGGUAAUUCGUUCUUAGUUUGAGAAUUGUUGUGAUGUUAUGCUGUUUUUCAGUUUCUCUCGUUAGCUUUGCAACUGCAAUUUAGUAUAACAAUUGUGGCUUAGAGUUAAUUCAUAUGUUUCAAGUUAUUUGCUAAACUGAUCAGUUGAAUAUAAUUUUAUUAGAAUUAGGGAAUGAAGAUUCAAUGUGAUAUUUAUGGGAGUCUUACAAAAUUGAAGUGGGUCCUGGCUUUUGACUUUUAAUAGGUAUUGAGUUUAGGCUGAUUUGAACCAAUAAGUGGACCAGGUUAUAUUGGGCUUGAAUUUUACUCAUUGACUAGCUCGCCAUUUGAUCCAUAGUUGCUAAUAACUCCAAAAUAUAUUUUAGCCCGUUAAUGACUUAUAUUUUAGAUAGCUAAGUAAUACACUUCUUCCACAAUAAAUUCCAUACCUCAUACUUUUACAAUAAUCUCAAAAUUAGUUUAGGAAAAAUAAUUAACAAUAUCGCUAGGCAACUAAUAGGCGCACUUUAACUUUUAUAUUCACGGACUCGCUUGCGUAGCGUGGUAUUUAAUAUUUAAUAAAUUAAUUCUAUAAGAUUCAUAGCUUAAUUAUUUUCUAAUUUAAUUAAUCUCUUGUUCUAAUCACGGAUUCGCUUGCGUAACGCGAUAGUGGCAUUUAAUAAUUUCUUAAAACUAAUUUCCUUAAUCACAAAUGUAGUAAUUUCUGAAAAGUACUAUAAUUAUUUGAUUGUCAUGAUUCCGGAUUCGCCUGCGAGGCGCGAUUAUGAUAAAUUAAUUAAUUUCAUUUUCGAUCACGUAUUCGCUUGCGUAGUGUGGUCAUGACAACGUAAUAUUCUCCAAAUCAUUCUUUAGUAAUUCUAACAAUCACGCAUUACAAGCGGAUAUAGGAAAAACUUGAAAAUUAUAUAAAAUAUAAUUUGUCCAAAAUUAAUUCAAGCCAAGUAUAAGUCAAUAAAAGCGACCGUGCUAGAAUCACGGGACUCGGGGAAUGCCUUAUACCUUCUCCCCGGUCAACAGAAUUUCUUAUCCGAACUUUAUUUUUGCAAACCAAUAAUAAAAGAGUCAACCCUUCCUUUGACUAGGGAUUCAAAUAAAAGGUGACUUGGGACACCGAAAAAUUAAUUUCAAGUGGCGACUCUGUAAAUAAAAUAAUCCCUACUCAAGCUUGUCACUUUAAUUAGAAAAACUCUUUAACCCACAAUCCAUAACAUACAUUAUCUUUGGGGGGUAUUAAAGGGGUGUAACAGCUCUGGCGACUCUGCUGGGGAACUCAACCAGAAUUCGAGCUUGUACAUAUUGACUUUUAUUUGUCUUUAUUAAUUUUGUAUAUAUUGCGAUUUAUUGGUGCCUAAUGUGCUACUUCCCUGCUUUUUACCGUUUUGAUAUUGUUGAAUUAUACAUAUAAAUUGUCUUCUCACGUACCCCUCUAAGUCUUCUUGAAAUUAAUUUGGGUAUUCGCUUGACAUAGCCCGCUUUCUUUGAGAUAGCCGAGGAGCUUGUCACCCUAUGAAGGAUUUAAGUCACAUAUAUUUUAGGCGGGGAGCACCACCAGCUAAGCCGGAAAGCAAUGCUACCGGUAUGCUGACCCUCCUCGGCUCGAGUUGUCCGCUCGAAUAAGCCAGUCUAGACACCUUCUCCACCAGAAUUUAAACCUAGAAGAACAAAUCUCAUGCGGAUAUCCAUAAUAGGUUUGUUUUAUUUGCAUCAUGUGCAUUUGACUUAGCAGCGCUCAACACAGGGGCCGGACCGAGUUCUGUUUUAGGACAGGAACCUUGUUGAGACCAAUAUGUUUAUGUUAUGUGCUAUCUGUUGUAUUAAUUUGGAGGCUUGCAUGUUGACCGGCUUUAAGAUAAAUCAGUUGAAUAAGCAAGAGAGAAAUUCUCCGAUUUCUAUACAAAUGUCCGUUAAAAGAAAAACAAAUUAAAAUAAAAAAAUAAAAUAAGGGGACGAUGUGGUCUAGUUUUAUGAUUUUAAGGAUUAAUUUUCAUAAAUCAAAAGAGAACAUAGUCGGUUUUUACCGAAAUACGCGGGUCUGAUUCUCACCGAAUGUGAGAUACGUAGGCAAACCUCAUCGAUUCCGGCCCCAAUUUUUAAAAAAUCCAAAAAUAUUUUUCUUUAAUUCCUUCUUUAGGAAUCUUUUCAUAGAAAAUCCCAAACAAAUAUAAAUAAAUAAAUAAAUUUAACCCAAAAUAUUUUUCUUUGUAGAAGUCUUUCAUUCGAAAAAAGAAAACAAAUCAAAUCAAAAUCCAAAAAAAAUAUUUUCUACCUUUUUUUAGAAGUCUUUUUUCCCAAAAAUUCAAAAAACGAAAAUCAAAAAUCCAAAAAAGAAAAUCAAAAUCAAAAAUAUUUUCUUUCCUCUUUAAAAGCCUUUCUUUCAAAAAUUCCAAAAAAAACGGAAUCCAAAAAUAUAUAUUCUUUUUCUAAACGCUUUCAUGGUCUGAGUGUUAUAAAAAAGUAAAAAAAAAAAGAGUUAGUUUAUUUACUCCAUUCCAGAUUUUUCCGAACUGUGCAAGAUCUGAUUCAUAUGGCGUCAUGAUACGUAGGCAAUCCCCAUCGAAUUCGAUUAUAUGUCAUCAAAUAAACUGAGUAAAAAAAAAUAAAAGAGAAGAAAGAAAAGAGUGACAAAAAAAUAACAAAGAGCGAAAAAAAAAAAAGCAAGAGUGAAAAAAUCCAAAAAAGAGAGCUCUUUGUCCAAUUUGGAAAAGACAACCGCGGAAAGUUUCAGUAGAUAUGCCGUCAAAUGGUGCGAGCAAGUUGUCAGGGUAAAGCCUCCAAUGGAUGAAGCAGAAAUGGUUACAGUCUUCCUGCAGGUCUAAGAGGCGGCCUACUUCCAGAACAUGAUGUCCGUUAUGAGUAAUCCAUUCGCAGAGGCUAUCAAAAUUAGGGAGAUGGUUGAAAAUAGUUUUAAAACGGGCCGAAUCUUGAGUCAUGCUGCCUUUAAGGCCACAUCACAGGCCGUUCAGAAUGGUUUUGAGGGGGUUUGAUGAACAUAAACGGGAGAAAAUAGGAAGCCAGGAUGGUUUCAAGCUUGAGUGGGGCCUGCAGGUCAUUCAACCAAUCAUAUAUGCUUCCUAAGGUCCCACCACACUAUUAUCCCCAUCAGCAUGCUGCUUAUGCCGAGGAACUGCCUCCCUAUGCGUUGAUGAACGUGCAACCUUACCCACAACCACAACAUUAUCCAUAAAACCGAGCUCCACCUCCCAGAAAUGCCCAUCCAUACCAAGAUCCAACAAAAUAUUCCUCGCCCAGGAGUGCCUUCCAGAAGGAAUCAGUUUACCCCUAUUGGUGAAUCAUACUCGAGCUUGUUCCAAAGGCUAAUCAGGCUAGGUCUGUUGCAGCCAGUGACCCCGAACCAGCCAAACCUCGAGUCCCCCUCGCACCAAGCUGAUGCUAGAUGUGAAUAUCACUCUAAGCAAUGUGACAUGAUAUAGAGGACUGUUGGACCCUCAAAAUGGCAGUUGAAGAAUUGAUGAUCCAGCAUUGAAAUCCACAGUAGCGAUUGUCGCGACAGAAGAGAAACCUAAAAACAGGCGCCAACCCUAAAAGGUUCUUUGUCAGAUGGGAGUCUCGGUAACCGGUCUUGCUAUUUUUUCUGUGUCUGAAUUAUUUUAGAGUGUAAUCCAGAUGUUUUACUCCAUUUCUUUACUUUCUGAUGUAAACCCUUCUCUCUCUUUAAAAAUUAAAAAUAAAAUAAAAUAAAAUAAAAUAAAAUUAAUAUUUCAUUGUCGAGAAAUGUCUCUUUUCUUAAUCUUGUCACCUUUCUUAUUCUCUUUUCAGUUCUGUUAAUGCAGAUUUUAAUGACAUGACAUGACAUGCUUGCGGAUUUCAUGCCUAAAUCCUAAAAUGUUGUUAGAUCCCGAAAUAAUGAAUCAAGAAACAUAAUGUUUUGAAGACAGGACUUGUAAGAAAUAGAAAAUUGGAAUGAAGUUGAGAUUCCCUCUCUUCGGAUCAUUGUUGAAGUCGAGAUUGAGGAUAAAGAUUGAGUCCAGAACCGAUUGGAAUAAUUGACACUGAUUGAUGAAAAACGAUUGGCCACAGUUUGCCACGGGCAGUUGUACCAACAAAGAAUGUCCCGUGUCUAUAACAAGAAAGUGAGGCCCAGGAAAUUUGAAAUAGGACAACUCAUUCUGAGACGUAUCCUCCCACCUCAUGAAGAAGCUAAAAGAAAAUUGGCUCCAAAUUGUAAAGGUCCAUACAUUGUAACGAGAGUACUGCUAAAGAGAGCGUUGUACCUGGGAAGCAUCAAGGAAAUAUCCCUGAAACAACUGUGAACGCGGAUGCAGUCAAAAGAUACUAUGUUUGACCCUCUAUGUGGCAUUAAUGUUCUUUGAUUGGGAUGACGAAGGCUUUCAUUUUCGCUAUCCAAAUAUCAUUAACCCUUUUGCUAACCCUUUUGAGUGGUUACCUUUCUUUGAUUUCCCUCUUUGGAACCUGAAGACGCUAUUAAGAAAAAAGAGAAGAAAAACAAAACAAAGAAGACCAAAAAAAAAGAGAAAACAGAAGAAAAAGAAAACAAAACAAAAAUCAAAACAGUUCAUGUUACUUGAACUACAUUCGACUUGAUUCCGAAAGGAUACAUAGGCAGUCUCUCUCUAGGGUUCAAUCACACCAAAAUAAAAAUUAAUAUUUCCAAAAAAAAAAAAAAUGGGGCAGAUGUUAUAAUGAUUCGGCGAUGGUUUCGCCUUAAAGGUUCCAAGGUUGUAAUUCAAUCCAAAUGUUUUUUACCCAAAUCCUUUUCAAGUUCUUCCGAUCAAUCAACGAGAAUGUUCAAGAAUUGGAGGAUACAGUUACUUGGAUCUGAUACAACCAAGUGAGAGAGUUUUGUUAGUGAAAAAUCGCAAAGGGUACUAUAAGGCAAUGGUGAGAAGAGAAAUGAGAGAGGUCAGCUAGUGAAAAUCCGCAAAGAGCACUACUGAUCGAAAAUAAGAUCUUCACAGCCAUUGGCAUCGAUACAGUCCUGGGCAAGGUUUCUCGGUUUUAAGGCAAUAGUUGUGUUUGAAUUACUGAGAGUCGGACGGUUUACACAGAUCAGGCAUCCAGUCCAAAAGGCAUGUCAUGUUCAUUGAAGUCCGCACGUACUCCCAGAUAAGUCCUUCUUUAAUUUCUGUUCCCCGAAAGGGACACCAUUUUUUUAAUUCUCCAUUCCAUUAUUGUUUUCUUUGAAUCCCUUUCAGUAUAACUUCGUGUCAAAAAUAAAUGGCAAAGAAAGGAUGGUAAGACCGAUUACAGGGCUCUCGUUUGAAGCGAAUGGAUACAUUGAAAAGGCACCCAACCUCGGCAAGGGCAUCAAGUCAAACCCAACUAGCCAUAGUGGCUGAUUCUUUGAAAUCAAAAAUUCUCGAAAGGAGGAAAUCAAAUUAAAAGUGCCUACAGGGGGAAAAUGAAGUUGAAAAUGUUAAGUCCCAAGUGGCGAAUCGUUUUGGCAAAGUUUGAAAAGCCAAAGGUUCCCCAAUUCUCUGAAAUUGAAAGUUUUGGAGGAAAGAAGUCGAAAGUGAAAUGCCACAAAGGAAAAAUAAAGUUGAAAAGGUGAAGUCCCAUGCGACCAACCAUCAUGUAAAAGUUUGAAAAGACAAAGGCUCUUCGGGGCCAGAAAUGCAUGUGGUAUUCAGGAAACAUCUAGUGGUAGGUUGAAAUCGUCAUCAAAAGAAAAUGGACACAAAGCCAAGCUGCCAAAGACAUCAAGGCCACACACCGACCACCACUUUUAAAACUCACAAUGUUUCUUUGUUUUGAAGCAGAAACAAAGCAGUGCAGAAUGGCAAUUCUUAAAGGACGGAUGUCACCAAAGGUAUGUUUCCACAAAAUCUCCAUUUUCUUUUAUUUUAAGCAUGCAUCACUAUUGUUCAUAUAGAUCAUUUUUGUGGCUUAACCCAGGUAGAAUAUUUUCGCCUAGGGGGAUCCAGCUCAUAGUUCCGAGUAGAAGUACCCUUCGCUCAGGUUAUUUCACGUAGCUUAACCCAGGUAGAACCUUUUCGCCUAGGGGGAUCCAGCUCACAGUUUCGGGUAGAAGUACUCUUCGCCCAGGCUGUUUUACGUAGCUUAACCCAGGUAGAGCCUUUUUUCCUAGGGGGAUCCAGAUCAUAGUUCCGGGUAGAAGUACUCUUCGCUCAGGUUGUUUCAUAUAGCUUAACCCAAGUAGAACCUUUUCGUCUAGGGGGAUCCAGCUCAUAGUNNNNNNNNNNNNNNNNNNNNNNNNNNNNNNNNNNNNNNNNNNNNNNNNNNNNNNNNNNNNNNNNNNNNNNNNNNNNNNNNNNNNNNNNNNNNNNNNNNNNNNNNNNNNNNNNNNNNNNNNNNNNNNNNNNNNNNNNNNNNNNNNNNNNNNNNNNNNNNNNNNNNNNNNNNNNNNNNNNNNNNNNNNNNNNNNNNNNNNNNNNNNNNNNNNNNNNNNNNNNNNNNNNNNNNNNNNNNNNNNNNNNNNNNNNNNNNNNNNNNNNNNNNNNNNNNNNNNNNNNNNNNNNNNNNNNNNNNNNNNNNNNNNNNNNNNNNNNNNNNNNNNNNNNNNNNNNNNNNNNNNNNNNNNNNNNNNNNNNNNNNNNNNNNNNNNNNNNNNNNNNNNNNNNNNNNNNNNNNNNNNNNNNNNNNNNNNNNNNNNNNNNNNNNNNNNNNNNNNNNNNNNNNNNNNNNNNNNNNNNNNNNNNNNNNNNNNNNNNNNNNNNNNNNNNNNNNNNNNNNNNNNNNNNNNNNNNNNNNNNNNNNNNNNNNNNNNNNNNNNNNNNNNNNNNNNNNNNNNNNNNNNNNNNNNNNNNNNNNNNNNNNNNNNNNNNNNNNNNNNNNNNNNNNNNNNNNNNNNNNNNNNNNNNNNNNNNNNNNNNNNNNNNNNNNNNNNNNNNNNNNNNNNNNNNNNNNNNNNNNNNNNNNNNNNNNNNNNNNNNNNNNNNNNNNNNNNNNNNNNNNNNNNNNNNNNNNNNNNNNNNNNNNNNNNNNNNNNNNNNNNNNNNNNNNNNNNNNNNNNNNNNNNNNNNNNNNNNNNNNNNNNNNNNNACUCCCUAAUAUCAUUGCCAAUAUAGGGUAUACCAUUCCUGACCAUAUUUUUCCAACAUAAGGUAUACUAAUCCUUAGUUGAGACAUCUUUUUGACAAUAAAGGAUACACCAUUCCAAAAAAAAUCAUUAUCGUGUUUUCCCUGGGUACACCAUUCCCGACACUUUAGUACUUUUAAUAAAAAAGUAGUUUAGAAUUUUUUUACAAUAACUCACGAAAUUUUUUUAGUAAAAACUAGGGCAGAAAAAUUCCGUUCGUUUGUUUGUUUUGGUGUCUGAGCAGGUUUUGCCUCGAGGCACAGGGCUCAAGAUGACAAAAAAAAAAAAGAAUAAUUCUCAAUCCAGAAUAAAGAAAAGAAAACAAAAAGAAGUGAAUCAAGAUUGCAUAAGCGGAUGAAAAGAUGUGAACUGCUCAAGACAUGACUGAAGUCACGACCAUUGCAUUUUUCCUCUUCAUCAGAAGAGGCCGUAGAAGAAUGAACUAGCACCUGCAGCUAGCGAGCAUCAAGGUUCAGAUCAGAGUCUGCGUGAAGAACCAGUCAAGACUCAAGAUCAAGUUUUAGAAGACUUAUAGAUAUGAAUCUUGUAACUCAUAACUUAUAGGCUUGUUUAGUUUCUUUUGAUUUUGAUGUAAUAAUAGGACUACAGACCGGAGUCUCGACGGAACCUCACUCGACUCUCCAACUCAACAUUCUAUCCUUUUCCUUGAACUAUACGCGACAUGAUUCCUAACCUAGGAUAUGUACGCAGUCCACAACCAGGACUCGGUUGCACUCUUUCCUUUUUGUUUAUUUUCCUUAAUCUUUAAAUAAUGGUUUAGUCAAAAUUAGUCACAUGGCUCACAUUGGCUUUGCCUGAAAACUCUUCAUGUUUUCAAGAAAAGAGGGGCAUGCUGUGAGUAUCUAAUUUUUUACCAUAUUUAAAUUUCUCAUCACUUUUAGUAUUUAAAUAGUUUUAAGUUUAAUCUUUAUAUAUUUUAGUUUUUGUUUUACCUUUUAUAGGUUUUAUUUGAGAAAAUUAAAAAUCAAAAACAAAGAGUCACUUGGCCUUUGUUUAAUAUAUUUCCUAUUAUAGCAAGUUAUUUUAGUUUAUUCUUAUAUAGAAAAAAAAUUUAUUUAAAAAAAAAUUAAAGAAGAGAGACGUUUGAAGCAAAAAGCAGAAAACAAGAAAAGUAGAUUUAUAAGGAAAAAGAUUCUUUUUACUUUUUAAAAUGUGGACCCCCCACCUUAUCCCUCCAUAAUAAACUCCACCUGCACCACGUUACAAAAGUCACCAAAAAAAAAAUCGGGUCCCAAACUUCCUUCUCACACAUUCUAUAUAAGGAGAAAACCUAGAACUUAAGGGGGGGCCUCCACUCACUGUUUCUUCUUCUUUGGGUGAUAUUAUUUUUCCUCCUCACUAAACCUCCAUGAGUCACUGAAAAUCAGUCAUAAAAUUAUCCCAAACUCACCCCGAAAUAGAUGUAAUUUCACUAGUUCGUCGCUACUGCUUUAGCUGUACAAACACCAGUGAAACACCACCCAAAACAGUCCCUUUUCUUUGUUAAAACCCAGUUGGAAAAUACAGCGAAAACCCCCUUUAAAACUAUCGUAGUUCUUCCUCAAAGCAGCGUGCAAUUGGGUUGAGUUGGGUUUGAGUUCAUGACGAGAAUCCGUUCGUGGUUCCGACGAGGUCUUCCAUUGCGGAUCUAUCACGUGUUGUAGUAGCUGUUAUUCCAACUUUUAUAAAGGAUCUCUAUAUAUUGCAAGUCUGAAAUUGCUAAGCUCAAGGUCUAUUUCUACUUUAGAUCUUUAUUUCUUGCAUGGCUUGAUGUUUAAUGUUGCUGAGCUUAUAUUACUUGCGCACUAUUUAUAUAUUUAUGUGGUGAUUCGUUCUUAGUUUGAGAAUUGUUGUGAUGUUAUGCUGAUUUUCAGUUUCUCUCGUUAGCUUUGCAACUGCAAUUUAGUAUAACAAUUGUGGCUUAGAGUUAAUUCGUAUGUUUCAAGUUAUUUGCUAAACUGAUCAGUUGAAUAGGAUUUUAUUAGAAUUAGGGAAUGAGGAUUCAAUGUGAUAUUUAUGGGAGUCUUACAAAAUUGAAGUGGGUCCUGGGCUUUUGACUUUUAAUAGGUAAUGAGUUUAGGCUGAUUUGAAUCAAUAAGUGGAACAGGUUGUAUUGGGCUUGAAUUUUACUCAUUGACUAGCUCACCGUUUGAUCCAUAGUUGCUAAUAACUCCAAAAUGCCUUUUAGCCCAUUAAUGACUUGUAUUUUAGAUAGCUACGUAAUACACUUCGUCCACAAUAAAUUCCAUACAUCAUACCUUUACAAUAAUCUCAAAAUUAGUUUAGAAAAAAUAAUUAACAAUAUCGCUAGGUAACUAGUAGGCGCACUUUAACUUUUAUAUUCACAGACUCGCUUGGGUAGCGUGGUGUUUAAUAUUUAAUAAAUUAAUUCUAUAAUCUUCAUAGCUUAAUUAUUUUUUAAUUUAAUUAAUCUCUUGUUCUAAUCGUGGGUUCGCUUGCGUAACGCGAUAGUGGCAUUUAAUAAUUUGCUAAAACUAAUUUCCUUAAUCACAAAUGUAGUAAUUUCUGAAAAGUACUAUAAUUAUUUGAUUGUCAUGAUUCCGAAUUCGCCUGUGAGGCGCGAUUAUGAUAAAUUAAUUAAUUUUGUUUUCGAUCACGCAUUCGCUUGCGUAGCGUGGUCAUGACAACGUAAUAUUCUCCAAAUCAUUCUUUAGUAAUUCUAACAAUCACGCAAUAAAAGCGGACAUAGAAAAAACUUAAAAAUCAUAUAAAACAUAAUUUGUCCAAAAUUAAUUCAAGUCAAGUAUAAGUCAAUAAAAGCGACCAUGCUAGAACCACGGGACUCGGAGAAUGCCUUACACCUUCUCCCCGAUCCGAACUUUAUUUUCGCAGACCAAUAAUAAAAGAAUCAACCCUUCCUUUGACUAGGGAUUCAAAUAAAAGAUGACUUGGGACACCGAAAAUUCAAUUCCAAGUGGAGACUCUGUAAAUAAAAUAAUCCCUACUCAAGCUUGUCACUUUAAUUAAAAAAACUCUUUAACCCACAAUCCAUAACAUACAUUAUCUUUGGGGGGAUAUAAAAGGGGUGUGACAUAAGUUUUGUAAUUUUAUCUUUUAUUAUUUGACUCGAGUUUCUUCUUUUGCUUGACCGGAUUAUACCGCGGGUCAAUAUUGAGCAUAUAAACUAUUACCUCCGGUGGUAUACUUGUUAUGUUAGCAUGUAGAAAAUUCAAUCAAAUUACCUUUAAAUUCGGUGUCGAGUCUCGACCAACGUAAAACUUCCUAUUUGGGAAGUUAAUAAUAGUUUCUAGUUCUUCAGCAUUUGAGCUCAUGGCUUCUGAUUCUUUCGGUUCAAUGAUUGUUUCUAAAAAUAUUUAUCUAAUUGUCCGUGGCUAUUAAUGAACCUUCCUUCCUCGUGGUCUUUAAUUAUCCUUCCCACGCUUAUCUUUUCUUUUAAAAUUGUCAGGUGCGGUAUCUCAGUCAGCAAUCCCGUGGGUGUUUUACCCAUGCUUUUCCUUAACCUUCAUUCUUCUCCUGUGAAAUUUUGUAAUUUAGCAAGGUGAUUCCUUACAUGUUCGGGAAGGUCCGGAUCUUUUUAAGCCCGUGAAGGAAAUUCCCUAUCUCUUUGCUCGGACCUGUUUUUUAGAUUGAUUUUAGAUUCGGAUCACCCAAGAACCACCUUCAUUUGGCCUUCGAGCCUAUUUUUAACUUUCAAUUGAAUCUGCAUGCCUUCCUCUAUUUGAAGCUCGGUGCUGUAACAGUUAUGCAUAUCAUUCUCGUGGGAUAGUUGGGAAUUCCCAGAGGUGUUCUAUCCGCUCGUUAUGUUUCUUGAUUUGUUUCUGUAAAGUUAGAAUUAAAUUUUGCAAAUUAAAAUUACCUGAUGUAUCUGAACCUCCUGUUCCGGAACUAUUUUGCACAGAUUCGUUAUAAUCAAUUCCGGUACUAAUAGUUGUAGUACCAAUAUACCGAUGUACAUUCUCAAUUUUUCUUUGUUUGUUGCUUAACUAUCAUUAUCAUGGCUAUUCUUCAAUUUUUAUUUUGCAUGGUAAAGUCAUCUCAAACUUGGUUGUCCUCAACUGUGUUGAUUGGCAAAUUUCGUCCAUGACGAAGGUUUAAACUGAAACCAAGCUAAUAUUAACAAAAAUUGUUAGUAUCUUUGGAUGAAUAGCAAAUUUGCUUGAGUUCCCAGAAACGGAACCAAACUGUUUAACCCAAAAAAUAAUUUUUAAGGUCAAAGUAAUAAACUUUAUAUGACGGGCCACAAGCAACUGAUUCGAUCCGAAAGAUAUAAAUUUUCGUUAACACAACGUGAUAGAGAAGUGAAAAAUAAAUUCAAUGACAUAUAAUAUAAUAAAAAUAAAGCAAAGAAAUAAUUCUUAUUGAAUGAUCUUUGAUAGGAUGAUGAGCCGAACAGAGCUCGAAGGUCCGAACUAUAGCUAACUUGGGAGCAAGAUGCUAUGAAUUACAAUCUAUAGAACUGUAGAGAAGAAAAUUAGAUGACCACAAUGGUGAUAAAAUGUGUCUAUUUAUUGGAGGACUUGUAACAGGUGUAUAAAUGCUGGAAUUCCGUAACUGAUGAGUUAAUUUCGUAACUGAUGAGUUAAUUUCGUAACUGAUGAGUUAAUGACUUAAUUCCAUAAUUGAUGAGUCAAUCCCGUGCCUGUUGAGUCAAUCUCGUGCAUGUUGAGUCAAUCUUGUAAUUGAUUGCCUUGUUCUGACCGUUACAACCAUUUAUUGCAUUUAUUGUACGUUACAAAAUUGAUUUGUAACUGAUGGCAUAAUGAUGGUAAAUCUCAUGUAAUCUGGGAUUAAUUAAUUCUUUCCUCAUUUGUAAUUAUGAGUUAUUCUCCCGUAACUAAUCUAGAGUUAUUCUAUGAUGGUCAGUUCCGAGACUAACAGGAACGGUAUGAGUAUGCUCGGUCCCGAAGGUAUUUCACAUGUCACAUUUACAUGUCAUUCUUCACUUUUCUUAUAACUUUGCUGACAUAUGUCGCCAUUUAAUAGACUCACGUGGCGAUCUAUUUUUCCCUAAUAUAGAAACCUGUCCCAACUUCUUCCACGCAUUUCUUGACCCCCUAUUUCCAUAACCAGACAUAACUAUUAGGCCCUUGACAAUACCAAGUCAAACUUUUCUUUCUAAUUAGGAUAGCUUUUUUGAAGCAUGAAAUUAUCAUAAAGCUACUCAGCUUGAAGUCCUCAAAUAUCCUUAAAACUUAAAAGUGUCACAUAAACCAGGCAACACAUACAUAGUCUAAAAGCAUAGUGGUAAUGAAUACCCACCUCAGUUCCUUUAAAGAUUCAUAUUUGAAGUGUACUACGUAUUUAAUAAAGUGAAUCACCUUUGCACUUGUAGGAAUAAAUACAUACAAGAAACUUUUAAUGGUUAAGUAUUAUGUAUUCUCACUUUUUCCAAGUUUAAAUUGUUUGGUUGGUGUAAAGAGUAGGCGUGAAAAAGUAUUUUCAUGCACUCACGUCAAUGGUCACUCCAAGGGCUUCCGAAAAACAUCAGCACUUCCACAAGCAGAAGGCAUUGACCUAUUUCCUUGCUGCAUAUAUAGAACAGCCUUAAGGGCUCAUAACAAGUGAAAUUAACCAACUCCCAAGUAAGUUGUUAGUCCAACCUUAGCAAAUUUAGCACCACAAGCUGCAGCAAGGAUAGCUGCUCCUGUUGAGAUAUUCACCGUGUUGGCGCCGUCUUCCAACUAUGUCCACCGCAUCAUUUAAUCCUUCAACUUUUCUACAACAUUUGAUGUUCAUCGAUCUUGCCAGUCCUACAACCUACAUUUGUGCAAAUUUGCGCAUCCAAAAGUUGAAAAGAAAAUACUCAUUCAAAGGGGGGAAUAGAAUAACGUUGAAAUGACUUACUUUCGCCUUUGGCUCUUAAGAGAACAAGGAUUGCGCUAAUAAGAGCUUUACUGCAGCGGAGAAGGAGGAGGGAGAGGCAAAUCAGUAGCUAGAGAAUUCAAUUUCCUCCUUGCUGAACUCUGAAAGAGAGGCCCAUUAAACAGAUACUUUUGAGUUUCGAAAUGGGAAAUUUGGCACGUACAGUGAGUGAAUGUGAAGGGGGAGAGUCCAAACACCGCCAUUGCAACCACAUUGUUUGUUUGGAAAGGUUGAAAUGAGAGUCAGUUUACUAGGUGCCGACAGUGGUCUAAGCCAUAAAUGCAGUUGGAGAAAAAUACUACUAAUUCAAUUCACUACCAACUACCAAAAACGUAAAACUAUUUACUGCUGCUAAUGGUUGCUCAAAGGUUUAAAGUUAAAUUAAGGAUGCACUACUUGUCCUCAUAAAUAAGUUUCCAUCUUCAACUUUUACGGUAACACCCUAUACUUGUUCAGACUGAUUUUUUUUUAACGCCCUUUUAAGCCCUCUCCCAAGAAUUAUAUAGUGUGUUGCAAACACUCACCCUCAGAUGAUGCCACGUAAUUAAAUGAAGUAUUAAACGAUUAUUAGUCUGUUAAUUUAAUUAAUUAACUUAAUCAUGUUUUACCUAAUACACAAUUAAAUAUUUACCAAAACCAUUUUCCCUUUUCCAUUUUCCCUUUUCCUUUCAUUUCAUUUCACCCCUCCGUAAAAAAUUCAUUCUACAUCUGUCUUGAUGCAUUGAAGAAGGCCUUCAAGGCUGGGUGUAGGCCUUGCAUUGGUUUGGAUGGCUGCUUCUUAAAGUGUUUGUAAGGGACAGUUGCUUGUUGUUGUGUGUAAGGAUAGAAACAACCAGAUGCUGCCACUAGCUUGGGCAGUGGUAGAAGUUGAGAACAAGUUUACUUUGACUUGGUUUAUGAGAUUGUUGAGGGAUGACUUUGAACUUAGAGAUGGGACAAAUUUCACAUUUAUAGCAGACAUGCAGAAGGUUAGUAUUAUGUAUUAUUUGUCUUCUUUACAGUUCUAUCUUUGUGUAUAUUAUACUUCUAUUUUUUCAUAAAUCUUACUGAUAUUUACUUAAUGUGUAGGGACUGACUCAAGCAAUGGAUGUUGUGCUGCCAAACUGUGAACAUACACACAUCCUAGCUAAUUGGUCCAAGAAUUGAAGAGGCAUUGAAAGAAGAAAUUAUUUCUGGAGAUGUGCCAGAAGUACUUAUUAGGCAGAGUUGAAAAAGAAUCUUGAUUUCAUGAAAAGAUUAGGUGGUAAAAUAAUUAUUGAUGACUUGUUGCGGUAUAACAAAGAAAGGUAGUCUAAGAUAUACUUCCAGUUCUUUACCAAUUAUGACAGUGUGAAUAACAAUAUGGCAGAAAGUUUCAACUCAUGAAUAUUAGAGCCAAGACACAAGACAAUUAUAACAAUGCUUGAUGAAAUAAGAGUAAAAAUGAUGAACAGAAUUUGGCAAUUGAGGGAAUUUGCCAAUAGCUGGAUCUGUAAUAUCUCACCCAUGGCAUUGAAGGUUUUACAAGAAAACGCUGCCAAGUAAAUGAAGUGUAACACUAUAUGGAAUGGAGACACAUUAUAUGAAGUGAAGGAAACUGAGUAUCUGAAACACUUGGUUUCUUUAUAAACCAUGACAUGCAGCUGCAGAGCUUGGAUGCUAAAAGGCAUACCAUGUGCUCAUGCUAUGGCUGCCCUUCAUUUUAAAAAGUUGGGGCCAUUAACUAUGUUUCUCACUGGUAUACCAAAGAGACUUACAUGAAAAUCUACGGUCAUUUCAUUCAGUCUGCUUUUGAUAUGUCAAUGUGGCCAGACUCCAAAAUAUGUAUAUUAUGCCACAAGUCAGAAAGAUGCUAGAGAGACCCAGGAAAGCAAGAAGAAAGGAGCAAACUAAAAAUAAAACAGGUAAACUGCCUAGGAAAGGACUGGAGAUGACAUGUAGAACAUAUAAUGAAAUGGAACAUAACAAGAGGCAGUGACAUAAGACCAAGAGUUCAACUUCUAAUGCAGCAUCAAGUGCAGCACCAAGUGUCAGUUCUGUACCAAGUGCAGCACCAAGCAGUUCUAUACCAAGUGCAGCACCAAAAACUAGAAGAGGAAGGGGUAGACCAAAAGGUUCCACCAAUGUGGCAAGACCCUACAAAAGACCCAAAAUGGUUGGAAUGGGGGUGCUGCAAACAGAAAGUGGCUUCACAAUCCAUAAUAUAAGUCUUACCAUGUUUUAUAGAACAGCUAAGCUAAGUGGUACAAUGUGUUAACACUAACCAGUUUUUGUCUUUCUUUAACAGCCUGGAAUGCCUUCUAGUAGGCCCAGAAAUGUUAUAUCUUCAGCAGAGAUCACUGGAGAGAUAUUGGGCACACACCAUCAACUGGAGUGAAGUGGAAAGGGAAAGCAGCUAUGACACAAAGACAACUACAGCAAAUGAGAGGAAAGAAGAUCAUCCAGACAAGAUCCAAGGCUGCACAGUUGAGUCAAGGAAGCUCCACAACACAUACCUGGAUACUUUAGAAAUAUCAUGUGUAUUUGGCAAAUUGGUCUGAAACUUUUAUAUUGUAUAGUUAUGUAGCUUAGACUAUAUUUAGGUACUCUUUUUGUGUUAGCAGUUGUGACUGCAAUUAUGUUAUUGCACAUAUUUUGGACAAUUGUGACUGCUAUGGUUUGGAAACAAUACUACUGUUAUUAUGGUUACUAAUGAAUGAGCAGGAAUGACUGCAAUUUUGGGACAGAUUUGUGUUUACUAUGUUCCGUCAAUGUACAAUUCUAGUCUGCUUGUUGCAUGCAAUUCUACUAAUUCAAAAUGCAUAAACAUAAAAAAUUUAGAAUCAAACAAGCACCAACUUCAUUCCACAAAACAAAAAUUGUUUAUAUAAGGUAUUCACCAAUAUUCAAUACAACUAAUGCUAUACUAACCAUGUUCAACAAUUACACCAAAUGUAUAAAACAAAGAGCCUAUGGCAACUUUAUUUCAUCAUCCUUCAAAUACAACACUUGAAACCUAGUACUAAUGUCGAUAAUAACACAACAUAAAAUGAUAAACCAAAAAACAUUCUCCCUUUUCCUUGAUCGAGCAGCUUUGCUCAUCCAUUUCUUCUCCCUUUCUUUCAUCUUCUAAACUUCAUUUUCUAAGCAAUCUAGUUGAAUGCAUAUCUUAUCAAUCUCAUGUCAUCCUUCUUUGUUGCCGUCGGAUUGUCAAGUUUUCCAAAAUCUUCAACUUGGCUCUCAAGUAUCCCGAUCUCUUCCUUCAAUUUAGGAAUAACAAGCUUUGAUCUAGGGUCAAUUUCACCAUCCCUCCAACGCCAAAAAUCACAUGCUCGAGCACCCUUAUCAUAAAUAGCCAUAAAAAUUAUAUUUCAGUAUUCAGUUGUUCAAUUAUUAACUUAAUUAAUCUUAAUCAAUUCAAAUUACCUCAUAGUAUGGACAAGCCCAAUACCUUCUACCAGGAUUUCUAAGGGUCCAAAAGAUUAACGGUGGCAGCAAAUAUCCAUGAUUACAUCGCACUUCUUCAGUAGAUGCAUGAUCGUCCUCUUUCAUAUAAAUCCUAGUCAACUUUUUGGAAGGCAUUUGGAAGUCGUCCCUGUAGGUUUCAAACAAAAGAAAAAAAAAAGGGGGGGGGGGGAGUUUGAGUAGAAACAGACUGAAAAAUUACCCAAAUCAAAGUAAAUUACCUACCUUUGCCUUCAAAAAUCCAAUCUUGAACAAUAGUUAUGGCUGAUUUGGUAGGGGGAAAAUUAGGGUUCUUGAGGUAGAUAUGGUAGAAGAAAAAUUGGAUGCAAAGGGAAAUAUUACCUUUUGGGGGAGGUUUUAAUUAGAGCUGAUAAAUUAUUUUUUUCCUUUUUAUUUUUAAUUUUACGAUUACAUAAAAGCAUUAAAUGCCCACAUUUGUGGUUAUACACAGCGCGUCUGGGAGAGGGCUUAAAAGGGUUAAAAAAAAUCAGUCUGAACUAGUAUAGGGUGGUAUUGAAACACUCGUAAAGGUUAAGAAACUAAUUUAUCGGGACAAAUACGGGAAGCUUUUUCUUCUAUUGGAAAGUGGGACUGUUAGGAGUAGAUUUAGCUUACGUAAGCAUUUACAGGAGUCACUGAUUAUGUGAGUUAUACAUGGCCACCACCUUCUUUUUUUUGCUUCUAUAAAGGUAGUGGCCACGCCAGUUGUUGCGCAACUGCACUAUUCCUAUCUUCGAUCAGCAAAUGUGCACUUGGUUUUUUAUCACGUUUGCGAAUUUAAACUUUAAUCUUUCAUGAUUAUCAGUUAAAUCACACAUUUGAAUGCAUAUAAUCAUUUAGAAGUGAUUGAUACGAGUUAUAGGCCUUUACAAGCCAAAUGAAAAGAUAUAUUAUUCUUGAAACCUCAUGAGAAAAAUACGACAUGGAUAAGCAACAACGACGUCACUUUCUCUUUUGCCCUCAAAGAAAACACCAACAUCCCUAAAGGAAGUCACAUUUUUAUAGGCAGUUGUGAUCUCCCAAGACCUGGCUCAAAAUUUUGUUUAAUAACUAUAGCUCCAGUGGUCGAGAAACUUUGAUGCUACAGUAUGCCAGAAACAGAGAAUUGAGGCGGUUAGACCUACACCCCAAAAAUGCUACCAGCAUAGGAGCCUAUGCUUCCAUUCUUCUUAUUGAUGAAGGUGCAAUCACUUUUCUCAGUGUGAAACGAUAUACAAGAAAUAUGUCAUCAGCCUGCGAUGUCCAAUAACAAAGGAUGUAGUGAGUUGAGAAUGCACUCACUGGAGGAUAAGUUAAGUGAUACUUCGGCUCCACAUUCACAUCAGGAGCAUUUUGUGCUUGCCCAUUUAGUACAAUUCCUAGUUCACCGAGAGUUGCCUGUUUUAAAGCUCGCAUUAAAAGUACAGAUUCCUAUGCAUGUUCCAAUUUUUUAUUGUUCAAAAUAAGAGCCAGAAGACUUCAGUACGAAUACUUUCAUUUAGUACAGAAUCAAAGAAAUGACACUUCACUUCUAUAUAUAUGCCAUCAAUAUUACAGCAGUAGCAAUAAUAACACUGUUACCAUUAGGCAGUUGCAGGUGCAAUAGCAAUCGCCUGCGCAUGAAAAGAACAAACAAAUUUCACAAAUACAACAGCAUUAAGUGCCAAACACAGAAUUUACCGAGGAGAAACAGGAGGGACAGGAGUUGAGUAAUGCACGAUAAGAAUUAUAAACCAACGUUAACACUGUUUGCGUUUACAUACAUUGAAACUUUUCCACUGUUGUGUGCGCUCGUGUAACAUUUUCAUUUUUCUACAUUUGAGGCACCAUGUCUCUUUCAAGAACAGAGUCUAACAUGCUCAGAAAAAUUGCCAGAAUGAAGUACUACUAUUGAUGGUUUAACCAGAAGACAGGGUCCUCUUUCUUUCAGUUAAUCCCGAAGCCAACUGGACAAAUAUCAUAGAUAUAAUAAAAAACAAUACACCUCUAGUUCACUCUGAAGCCCAGUAUAUUCUUACUAACGGACCAUGCCUUCUUACUCUUCUUCUAACCAAAUGAGAUCCAUUAGCAAAUGGCUCACUAUUACAAAGAGAAACCUGAUCAAAUCAAUCAGUAAACCGGCUCUUUUUACCACUCCAUCCUGAACCUAUAUUGGGGCUUCUGCUACGACUGCGCUUCCGUGGAGCAUCCGCAUUGUGNNNNNNNNNNNNNNNNNNNNNNNNNNNNNNNNNNNNNNNNNNNNNNNNNNNNNNNNNNNNNNNNNNNNNNNNNNNNNNNNNNNNNNNNNNNNNNNNNNNNNNNNNNNNNNNNNNNNNNNNNNNNNNNNNNNNNNNNNNNNNNNNNNNNNNNNNNNNNNNNNNNNNNNNNNNNNNNNNNNNNNNNNNNNNNNNNNNNNNNNNNNNNNNNNNNNNNNNNNNNNNNNNNNNNNNNNNNNNNNNNNNNNNNNNNNNNNNNNNNNNNNNNNNNNNNNNNNNNNNNUGGACAUAAUCUUCUAUUCCAGUUGGGAAGUCAUAGUUUAUCACCACCCUGUGACAAUAUGUUCUCAUUAACUACCAUUACCCCAAAACCCUCCACUCAUUUUUUCUUUUAAAAAAAACGAAUAUGCAUAUGGAUGCAUAAACAUAUUAUGCUUAUUGCACAUCAAAAGAGUAGGUUACAUCACAAUAUACUAUUAGGUCUUAGUCCAAGACCAUGGUCCAAGUUGGAGCUGUAUGUACUUAUGGAAGGCCAAAGUAGUUACUGAUUAUUCACAUCCCACACUAAGAGGCAGAACUGUAGAUAGAAACUUGACUGCUUGGCUCAAGUUCAAUUUCUAGGACAGAGGGUGUGUUUGGUAUGAAAGAAAAUGUUUUCCAUGAAAAAUGUUUUCCUAGAAAACGUUUUAAUGGAAAAUGAGUGAUUUCAUUACUUUAUUUUUUCCUUGUUUGGUUGGUGAGUGGUUUCCGGAAAAUAUUUUCUAGUGUUUGGUUAGAGAGCAGAAAAUAUUUUUUUAUGCUACUCUCCUCACCCCUUUCCCCCAAGUACCCAUGUUUCCUUGCUCACCCCUCCCUCCCCCAAAUACCCAACGUUUUUAGAACUCUAUUUUCUUCAAGGAAUUUAAUUAUUCUUCUAAAAAUUCAUACAAACCCAAAGGAACUAAUAUGCUGCUUUACUUUUUUAUGCAAAAAUAACAUUAAAAUUUGUGUUCCAUAACUUUAAAAAACACUCUUUUUUUGGUUGAAAAAGAAAGUACUCUUUCUGCAACAUGAAAAUAAAGUACCCAUUUUAUUGAAAUAAAAGAAAAUACUUUUUCUACAUCAUGAAAAGAAAAUACUCAAAUUGUUGAAAUGAAAAAAAAAAUACUUUUUUUACAUCAUGAAAAGAAAAUACUUUUUCUAUGAAAAGAAAGUAUUGUUAAUAAUAUUUUUAUUUAGGGUGGGGUGGAGGGUGAGGGGGUGGGUGGGUGUUGGGGUUAGGUUGGUGGGGAUGGGUAAUAGGGUGGGAAGGAGUUUUGAAAAAUGUUUUUCCGGGAAAACAUUUUCCUCCAAUUGGAAGAAAAUGAGUUCACGAGGAAAAUAUUUUCCAAAACAUUUAAGCCAACCAAACAUGGGAAAAUUGGAACUUCACACCAAACACACCCAAAAUGUAAAUGCCAACUUCUAAUGUCUACUUAAUUAUCCAAAUCAUGGCAAUGCAUUCACCGCCGACUUGGUUAUCAAGGAAGUGUAUAGUUACAGUUUUGGCUGAUGCUCUCCCUAAACUAACACAUCACUUGAAAAAAAAAAAAACCACCAAGACACACCAAAGGGACUAAAGAGGGGAGGGCGAAGCAAUCAGUAGGUAAACAAUACUUCAUUCACUCCUUUUUUGUCACUAUUACUGUUUUGUCGAUCCCUAAAAGACAGCCACCUUUCUAUACAAGGAAAGUCAUUUUAACAUUUGUGAUUUUUCCUUAACAUACUCUUAUAGAAAUUAACAUGGCACAUUGAAUACCACUAGAUAUUAAGGGUACUUUUGGUAUGUUAUACAAAUUUAGCUUAUGCAUGAAAAUGUACUUUUUUUUCCCUCUAAACAACACAUCCAGUCAAAACACCACUACAUAUAGAAAUGGACAGCAUAUGUCAAUCCAACACCUAAUACCGUGGCACAUUGAAUACCACUAGAUAUUAAGGGUACUUUUGGUAUGUUAUACAAAUUUAGCUUAUGCAUGAAAAAGUACUUUUUUCCUCUAAACAACACAUCCAGUCAAAACACCACUACAUAUAAAAAUGGACAGCAUAUGUCGAUCCAACACCUAAUACAGUGACCAACGCUUUCUUAUCCAAUUAGACAUCAGAAUUGAAGAGCACAUGAGCAAUGCAUAAUCAAACAGUAUGUUUAACGGCACCAACCUGAUAUCUUUGAUGUCCAAACCCCGCGCAGCAACAUCAGUAGCCACAAGCACAGGAGACCUGCCAGUGCGAAACUGGCUUAAUACAUAAUCCCUCUCACCCUGAGAUUUAUCCCCAUGAAUUGCGGCUGCUCCAAAAUUGCGAGUAAGAUUGCGAGAUAGUUGGUCGCACAUUUUCUUUGUUGAACAGAAAAUAAUGAUUUUUGACCCUGGUUCUUUGGAUCUCAAGAUUUGUUCUACUCGCCGUUGUUUCUCCAUCGGCAGCACGACUUCAAUGUACUGCAAGAGACAACUACUUGAAUUAAUUGUAACCACACCAGGUUCAGCUUUUAUGCUUAGGCAUAUAUAAUACAGAUUCUACUACAAUACCUCUUUUUGUUCAGUUAUAUUCUACUAUCAUACCUCCCAGCCAUCUUCUCCAAUAAGGAGAAGUGAAGUACUUAAAGAUAUUAAAUAAUGAAAAUUGCCCAGGAAAAUAAUAAAGAAACACACCUGCGUGAUAGACUUGUUUGCAACAAGCUCAUCAACAUUUCCAAUAUUAACUUGAACUGAAUUAACCAAUAGAUCAGCAGCAAUCUUACGAACCCCCUUCGGCCAUGUAGCUGUAUACAUCAGUGUUUGCCUCUGCACAGGCACCUCCUUCACAAUCUUCCUUAUCUGAGGUUCAAAUCCCAUGUCCAGCAUACGAUCCGCUUCAUCUAACACCAAGUAAGAAACUUGACCAAGGCUAACUCUUCUCAUCUCCAAGAUGUCGUUCAAACGACCAGGAGUGGCGACGACAAUAUCUACACCCCUACUCAGCUCCCGUAGUUGAGGACCUUUUGGUGCACCUCCAUACAGACACUAACCGUCAGAACAUAAAUCAUAGUUAGUUUUCAAACAAAAUUAAGAUCAUAAUUUUUCAAGUUCAUCAACAAACGUAUGUAAUUGACAUUAACAUCUUUGCAUUUGUCUAAUAGCAACUAUUCUACUAUUCUAUAUGCAGGUGAGUAUGCAGCUGGAAUAAGCUGCAAAAAAUUUAGAAAAUACAUGAUUCACAGCUCAAAACAGAGAAUGCAAUAUUUAACCUGUGAGUUUUAGAUUUCUAUAGGGUGGAUAUACCAGAACCAAAGUCCUCUGAAAAGCAUUGUUACAUUUGAGUGUUGCAAAAACGCAAGUCAUAUAGCAAAUAUUCUAAUUAUAAAAUAGAUGCCAGACUAAGCAACAGUACUUCAAAAUGAUAAUAAAGUUCUAGUACUCCCUCCGUUCCACUUUAUGAGACACGAUUCGGAGGACAAGGGUCAGACUGCCUAACUUUUUGUGGAACUUCAGAAAUAGAAUCUUCAAGUUUUUCGAAAUAAAAUUAACAUAUUUAGAAACUAAAUAAAAAGUACUAAUAAGUCACAAAAGUUAACAAUUCCAAAUAUUUAAAAAGUCAUAAACUAUGAGAGAGUAAUAGAACCAAAACUAUUACACUCACAAGUCAAAAACAUCAUACCGUGCAGGAUAUCCUUGACGAUUUCCCAAACUUCACUGCUUCAGCUUGUAUCUGCGUGGCUAAUUCUCUUGUUGGUGAUAGUACCAAAAUAGUUGGGCCUAAUUGAGGAUUCUUGCGACGAUGUUGUAGAUGAACAAAGGCAGGCAUCAAGUAACCCAGAGUUUUGCCAGACCCAGUCUUCGCAAUAGCCACUAUAUCACGGCCCUGAAGGGCAAUGGGCCAGGAUUGUGCCUGUAUUGGAGUAGGAGCCGAAAACCCAGCUUGAUGCAUCUGUAAAUGUUGGCAACAUCAUUCAGCAUAUAUACGAACUCAGAAUUUUUUUAUUUGACUAUCUGAAUGGCCAACACAAGAAGAAGCAUCAUCCCCCUUAAGUAGGCAGCCAACACUUGCUAAUACAAACAAGAGCAGGAGGACGCCUCUUCUUCAGUUUGGACCAUGUUGGCAGACUGAAUCAUCACCGACAGCAGCCCCAGCCACGAACAUGGAUGAUUCGGAAAGCCUUCAGAAAAUUUGGUCCACCAAAUAAGGGUGCUCCACAUACAUGGAAGCCCCCAAAGGAUGGUUGAACAGCGUACGACAUUUAGCUCCUCCUUGGAGCAAAUAUCGCACCUGCGUGAAAGUACAGACGGGAAAAUGGAUGAGUACUGAAGCUCAACGAUGGACCUCCAGCAACCAUUGAAAUUUAGAAAGAACACACUCGAUUAUUACUGUAAAUUCUUUGAUAAGAGGUUCUCCUGAAGGAGCCUUUAAAACACAAAUAGAAAUGGGUUUAUUCAUACCUCCCUCACAAUCUCUGAAGGAAACCCAGUCGCUUCAAAUGAUGUCAAAGGUGCAGGAACAUCACCUCCCUGUCAAAUAUGAUGCAAACAUGAGUAUGACUGACAAUUUUGUAUCAAAGGUUGGGGGUGGGGAGGGAAGAAAAAUUAACAUGAAAGAUGAAGAUGAAGCUCUUUUGAAAAGCUAGACUAAUACAACUUUCAAUUGAACAUAGAGAACAUAGCCACUUAGAGUUCUGAUUUAUGCUACAGCAGGUAGAAGACAAAUAAAGAACUGGAAAAUCACAAGACAUAAUACCAGACAGAAGAGACUAAACAAUUUCAUCUUCAAGAUGAUGGCCCUAAAAUAAAAGGCAGUCGAAGUUGCAUUUCUUGUGCUUUUCUUGUGUUCUGAGUUACAGAAACCGAAUCAAGAAACUAUAGACCUUCAAUCAUCCAAGAUGUAGUAGUAAAAAAGAUGAAAUAAUUCAGACAUGGUGCAACUGUAGCCAAGUGAAGAUAGCUCAAUAUACAGAAACAUGUCAUACGAACCCUGCAACAUCCUAAUGAUAAUGGAGGAGAAUUGCCCUCUAGAAUGUGAUAAGACAACCUUUUACUUUGUCCAAACCCAUACAACUCUCACCAAAAGAUAGUAGCAGCUCACACAUAUGCAAUAAGAAAACAUUUUGAAACAAAAAGAAUUUAUAGUGUUGGAUGUGGAGCAGAGCAUAGUAUGGGAAAGGGCACGCGGCGCCAAAUUAUAGGCAGGGAAUCUGUUGUACCAAAGUUUCUGGUUGAUCGAGCGAAUUUGUCAAGUUUUUCUUUCAUAUUGCAAUAUGUCAAGUUUUAGAAAUCUGGAUGCUAUUCUCUGCAAUGACACUGCUAGCUCCCUUAUUUGCUUUCACAUGACUGAUCGUUCUCCAGUUCAUUCACCUGCUUCUUCUUUUUGAAAAUGUAAUGAAAAGAACAAUAAUUUGAAACAAUUCAUUCACCUGUUUUCAUUAUGAGCCUUUCGCAAUUCAUAUUCUAUGAAUUGUCAGCUAUCUACCAAAAAGUAGUUGAGCUAGAUACUAAUGAUGAUGAUAAUGAUGUUCAACAAGUGACAAAUAAACUCUAAUCUAUGAUCCUUCCGUAUGAUGUAAUGUUCAGUCAAAUCUUCACAUUCAGUGUUGUAUUUUUAUUUUGUGGUUUAUAUGAUGUAGAAGACUUGCAUCUAAUAUCUAUAAUGGAGGGGUAUUCCUAUGCCUUUUGUUUUGAUAGUUCUAUUGGUGGUGCUUUUCAAAGGUUAACUCACAACUAAAAUUUGUAUUUACUAACAUAAGAAUCUCAUCUCAUCACUAGUCCAUAUUUAGUAUGCUGUCUGACCUUUCAGUGCUAUCUCAAUAAACAUGAUAAGAAAAACAAAUGCAAUUACUAUAUGUUAAGUAGAUUACAUUUGAAAUUUUCACGAAUUCAUUCAUAUUGUUAAAUGUGCAAAGUCCAAAAUUAUUGACUACCUUUCCAGGAAACCACCAAAUAUAUUUUGCAACCCCGGUAGUCCAAUAGACAGAUGCUAAUAUGUAAAAAUCGAAAUGGCUUAUUUCACAAUUAUUGAAAUCAUAGCAAACACGAAUCAUCCUCCGAGAGAUCAAGUUAACACCCAUUUGAGUUUUAAAAGUGAAAUUCCAAAAGUGAAAAAGAAAUGAAAUGGUUCUUCAUAUAAAUCAAGAAGGCACAGUUUCUUAGUUUCUUACCGUAACAGAGAUUUCAUUGCGGCGGCAGUAGGAUUCUUGAGAUAUGUCACUUCCUACACCUAGAGAACCAUAGCCUUCAUGGACAGAUGUUCCAUCAUGAAAAUGAUCAGAACUGCUUCUUGCAAUCUACCAAAUAAAUAAAAAGAUAAGAAAAAGAAACUUGCACCCAGAGAGAUAAAUAUAAAGAAACAAAUCCAGAGAGGGGGGAACCUGACGGGUAAACUCAAAUAACAUUCGACUACUAAAGUUCAAGUUUCUAUAGCAAUUUAGUGUUGACCAUUACUCAUAGAUUACUACUUAAGAACAGAUUCUUUCUUUUAAAUAAAAACCUUCAUAACCUCUAGGCAAUUCAGCAUAAACCAUUGCUUAUCAGAGUAAGCAAGGGGACAGAUCUUUCUUUUCCUUUCAACUAAGAACUGAACCUAAUUUUAACCACAUGCUAAUACUUCUUUGCGCAUUUCUCAGCUAAGACUACAAAGAAAAUGAAAGAGAAAACUGGUCUCGACAGAGAUACAAGGAAAGUGCAAACUAAAAGAUAUUUCAACCUCUUUUUGAGUUGCCGUAGACCACCUUCUCUUUUUCACAAAUUAGAAUCCCUUGUACAAUAUACAGGCUCAAAAUCAUAUGUAAUAUAAUACGAUAAUUCAAUCCCAAAAUUCAUUAUUAACACUUGAUACUUAGUUUUUUUGAUGAUAACAUAAAUGAUAGAUUUUAAAGGAUCCCACACAUAGAAAUGACAUAUCCAUUGACAAUCUCUCUUUAAUCAAUGUCAAUGAUGUCAAAUGGAUUUAAGAACACGAUAAUAUGAAAAUCCCAAAAAAAAAUAGAAACCAACAAAAUAGUUAAACAUAUUCGAUUUGUCGUAUCUAUGUCCAAACUGAAUACAGAAAAAAAAGAUGUUCUUUUAGAAAAAGGGGAAUGGGAGAGAGAGAGAGAGAGAGAGAGAGAGAGAGAGAGAGAAGAAGACAUAACUGACAGAGAUACAUUAAAACUAGAUAACUGAUCUCCCUUCACACNNNNNNNNNNNNNNNNNNNNNNNNNNNNNNNNNNNNNNNNNNNNNNNNNNNNNNNNNNNNNNNNNNNNNNNNNNNNNNNNNNNNNNNNNNNNNNNNNNNNNNNNNNNNNNNNNNNNNNNNNNNNNNNNNNNNNNNNNNNNNNNNNNNNNNNNNNNNNNNNNNNNNNNNNNNNNNNNNNNNNNNNNNNNNNNNNNNNNNNNNNNNNNNNNNNNNNNNNNNNNNNNNNNNNNNNNNNNNNNNNNNNNNNNNNNNNNNNNNNNNNNNNNNNNNNNNNNNNNNNNNNNNNNNNNNNNNNNNNNNNNNNNNNNNNNNNNNNNNNNNNNNNNNNNNNNNNAGAGAGAGAGAGAGAUGGAGAAGGAAGGAACUAAACUGACAGAGAUACAUUAAAACUAGAUAACUGAUCUCCCUUCACACAUGAUACCUUGUUAUUGCUACCUCUGUUGUGUCCACCAUCUGGAUCAUAGCGUUGACCUUGAGAAGGCUUUUCAACAGAUGAACUUACAAAUACAGAUGACUUAUGUGCUGGAGCAGACACUGCAUGGGAAGAGGGAACAGGCCUCUCAUAUUGGGUAUCGUUGGUCUCUGGAUUCCAGAAGUAGAUGAAUCCAGUCGUACCAUCAACUAGGCCUUUCCAAGGUUUGGGGAGGGUAGGGUCUUCUGGUGCAUAACUUGGACCAGCGGAAGAUGCAGUUACAACAGCCAUCUCAAACUUCAGUCUCCAAUGACCACUGGAUUUAUAUAACAUCAGCGUGCAAAAAUUAUGAAAUGUAAAUUUGGAGAGAAAUGAGCAACCAUGCUGAAAAAAAGGACUACAAAAAAGCUUCUUCCUUUUAUGCUGUAUCACCAUUGACCAUCCACAACUUAGAAAAAAGGUGGUGGUAGUAGUAGUUAUCUAAGUCAAGGCAAAGCAAGCAUGCUACAGCCAAACAAAAUGUCAAUUAAAGAGAUGCCUAGUUGAACAAAAUAGUAUCCAACAGUAGAUGACUCAAUCACUUCAAUAGUUGUAGACACAGAUCACAGCUACAACUUGGUAUAAAUUUAAACAAAAAAACUCUUGGACAGGAGGACAGCUAUAUAUCAUCGUGAGAUGCACUAAAGAGCCAAAAUAGUUUCUUCCUAACCUUUUAAGGCUUAUGGAUGUGUUUGAUAUGAAGGAAAAUGUCAUCUUUUUUUUUUGAAAAAGGUAACAAAAUGUUAUCUUGGAGAAUAAAUAAUUUUCUUACUUAUUUUCUGGUAUUUGGGGGUGGGGGAGACACUCACGUGUAAUGCCACUUAUAGAACUUGUUUUCCCUACUCCCACUUAUAGAACUUGUUUUCCCUACUCCCACUAGGUAAGUGGCCAUUUUACUAAUUUUUAAGGAACUUGUUUUCCUAGGAAAAAUGUGUUCCAGAAUAUUUUGACCAACCAAACAUGGAAAUUGAAAAUUCUUCCACACCAAACACAUCCCUCUUUUUAUCACAACGGUGUCCAAGCCAGCUUGCGUGCACCUCGACUAUUCUACCGGGUACUUGCUACCACCCACCAGCACAAGUACUGGGUGUUCUAAAGCUUGGGCAAGCUCUCCACCCCACUUCAAUGACCACUGGGCCACCCAGGCCACCCAUGGGUGCACCUAACACAGCCUAUAUCACUUCUUUUUUUUCUUUUUCCUUUUCUCUUAUGCUAAUAGGAAAACUGCUCCAGUAACCUCCUGAACUACCACAAUCAUGAACUAUCAUUCAAUAACUAUCUCUCAAUCCUACAUCAAUCACUGUUUGCAUAUACAUGUCAUCUAAAAAAACAAAAACAAAAAACAUAGUAUUAGUAUUAAAACUAAGCUGGUCCAAGCUAGCCUUUUCCAGUCAGAAGGAGAAAAACACAUAUGUAGGUCUAGAAUCACACGCAGGAAAACUAAUUCAAAAGGUCUGCAAUCGCCUGGAGCAGUAACCAUUAACCCUAAAUGACAGCUCAAAAGGCACAAAUUUGAGGUCAAACAAUCAACCAAAAAGAAAGAAAAGCUGAUCAACCCUAGAUUAUCAUUUGAUAACACAUAACAGCGAUUGAAUGAAAAAAAAAUCAUAUAGUUAAUCCAGAUCUGAAGUAUUACAUUAAACAAAUCAGAAAUUGAUAGAGAAUAAUACCUGACGAUGUCGAUCUGAUAGCAAAAAAACUUAAACUAAAUAGGAAAAAAUAAGUGGACACAAAUUAUUUCCACCUCCAAGGAUUUCUCCCUUUUUCUCUAGGGUUACAAGACCUAGAAAGAGAGAAAUACGCUUCCAAAAAAAUGAGAAGCGUGAGGAGAUAAAAAGGAGUUGAAAAUAUCUGAUAGAUGGGAUAUUUAUAGAGAACCGAUAGUGAAACCCAAAACGCUUUGCUCUUUGCCCAAAAUUCUACAUCGGUGUCGGCCACAUGUUUUUGGGCCAGGGGCCCACCUGGCUCCUGCUUGUCAAUAAAAAAACAUCGGGUUCGUAGUUGAAAUUAGGUAUCUUUAUACAAAUAGCCGGUCUAAUUUAUUAUUUAUUUUUUUAGCCAAUAUAUAUAAAUUGUACAAUAAUUAUAUAUAAUUAUACACAUAUUUUAUACUCCCUCCGUUUCAAUUUAUGUGAAUCCAUUUGACUGGGCACGGAGUUUAAAAAAAUAGAGANNNNNNNNNNNNNNNNNNNNNNNNNNNNNNNNNNNNNNNNNNNNNNNNNNNNNNNNNNNNNNNNNNNNNNNNNNNNNNNNNNNNNNNNNNNNNNNNNNNNNNNNNNNNNNNNNNNNNNNNNNNNNNNNNNNNNNNNNNNNNNNNNNNNNNNNNNNNNNNNNNNNNNNNNNNCCAAAUAAGGAAAGAGGUCAUUCUUUUGCACGGACUAAAAAGAUAAUAGGUUCACAUAAAUUGAAAAGGAAGGAGUAUGUAUUAUGCAUAUUUGUCGGCUAUCUUAAGUUAUAGCUUCUGUAGGGAGUUAUUUAAGUGAAUUCUUCUUGAAAGUACAAUAAAAGGUCAAGUUUCCCUCUUAACAAAGUUAGCCAAGAGACUAACCCCCGUCCCCCGUAAGCUAAAAACCACCAAAGAUGCCAAAUUGUCAAAAAAUUCAACUUCAAACGGCUUGAAUCUAGUCAAAUACGACCCAAUAACGUCAAACAAAGCCAUAGGAAUCAAUUCCAAAUAAUAAAGUUCGAAUCUUUAAUCAAAUACAUAAAGUCAAGCAAAAGUUCAACCUGGACUCACUUCUCGGAACCCGACAAAACUCACAAAUCCCAAUUACCCAUUUUAAUACGAGUUUAUAUAUAGAAGUUUCAUCCAAAAUCGGCUCCAAAUCAGGGUUCAAAUCUCAAUUAUUCACUUUCCAAAAUUAUAGUCAAAAGCCCCCAAAUUUCUCUUUAUAAUCCAAGCUUUUAGGUGUAGAAAUCCAUGAAAAAUAUGAUACAAAGUCAAAUCCAAGUGUAAAUUGCUUCCUUCCAAUGAUGUAGUGAAUUUGCUCUUCAAAAUCUCUCACUCUCGAAAUCUAGGGCUCAAAAUAUGAUAAAGUGGGUAAAAGUCCUGAAAUCUCAACUUCAAUAUUCUACCCAAUGAUGUUCAUCUCAAUCGCGACAUAGCUUCCGCGAUCACGAAGGCUAAAAAUCUGCCCAGCUAUAAACUCCACUUCGCGAACGUGAAGACAUCCUUGCUAACACGGUCCCUCACCAGCGAACACGAAGGCAAUCCUCCUACCUGACUACAAGCUUCCGUGAACGCGCAGUAACAGACCUUAGUCCUCUGCGAACGUAGCCCCACUCCCGCGAACACGAAAGGUAAUCUUCGUCUGCUAACUCUGCUACUCCGCGAUCGAGAGCCUCUCUCCGCGAUCACAAUGAAUCCACCUGCACCAGAAAACCAACAGUCCAAAAAUAAGGGAAAAUAGUCUAAAACCACCCUGAAUCACAUCCGAGCCCCCAGGACUCCGCCCAAUUAUGCUAAAAGGUCUCAAUACCUUAUUCAAACUUUUCCAAGAGCUCGAAACAUCAUGAGUAACAUCGAAACCAAGAACCGACGAUUAAAAUCACUCUCUUAAAAUCAACAACGUCUACCUUGCAACUAAGCGUCUGAUUCAAGCCUAACCAAUCAUGAUUCCAACCAAACUUUGCACAUAAAUCCCAAAUGAUAUAACAAACCUAUACCAAGUUCCGGAACAAUAAUCCAACUUUCGAUAUCAUCAAAGUCGACCCCUGGUCAAACCUAUGAACUCUCCAAUCUUACAAACUGCAAACUUUCGGCGAAUAGAGCCAAAACAUCUCAGGAGCUUCCAAAUUCAAUUCCAAAUAUACAUUUAUGUCCAAAAUUACCAUACAAACCUAUUGGAACCAUCAUUGGAAGAGCAAGUAUUUGAAUUCACUCCAAAACCUUCCUGGAACCAAACCAGUCAUCCCCGCAAGUCAAAAAACCACAAACACACAUACGGUUAACAUCAAAUAGAGGAACAGAGCUCAAAUACACAAAACAACUAGCCAUGUCAUUAUAUAUAUGUACUAGUUAGUAUGUCCGGACGGGGUCUGGAUGGGCUCGGGUGUAGUUUCAAGGUGAUUUUGGAUCAUUUUGAGCCAUUUUGUGAUUGCUGAUUUUUUGGUGCAUAGCAUUGAAGCGCUAUCGCUGAAGGUAGUCACGCGAUCGCAAAGAAGGAUAUGGAGGCAAUAUGUGUUUUGUAUUAUGCAAUCACAGAAGAGGUGUCGCAAUCAUGGAGUAGAGCUGAGUGGUGAAUCGCGGUCAUGUAGAGAGUGAUACGAUCGCUAAUAGGAACCCAAUGGUGUGUUGUGCAUCGUGAUCGCGUGCAUAGGUGUGACAACACGAUAGGUUAUUUUGAGUACUAGCCUUAAUUUCUAUAUUCUGAGACCUCUCAUAGUUUUAUUUGAUGUUGUAUGACCUUCGUGCAUGGUCCGUGUUAUUUUUUGGAAAGCUUUUAUGUGAAAUUUUGAAGACAACGUGAUUUUUGACUUAAAAUGAGGGUAGAGUUGACCACGUUUAACGUUUUUGGUAAACGAUCUCGGAUAGGUAUUUUGACGAUUUCGGUAGGUUCUUAUGAUAUUUUUGGACUGUACGCGUGUUCGGUUAGAGUCCUGAGUGACCCGAGGGCGUUUCGACGCAUUAUGUGAAAGAUUGGAAAAUUUUGGUUUAAAACUUGAAAUUUUGAGUUUUGAUGAUUGAUUAUGAUAUUUGAUGUUGUUUUGAUAAUUUGAGUGAGCGAGCGAGUUUAUAUGAUAUUAUUACACUUAUGUGAAUGUUUGGAUUGGAGCCCAAGGGGCUCGGGUGAGUUUCGAAUAUGUUAUGGUUGAGUUUGGAACUGCUGAUGCACAUCAGCUGGUGUGUUCAAGUUGCAGGUCUCGCAUUUGCGAAGACAUGAUCGCAAUUGCGAGCCUGACAUUUGCGAUGUCAGGCUUGCAAAUGCAAAUUUGGGGCUGGGACUGAAGACUUCACAAAUGUGAAGAAAUAGUCACAUUUGCUACAUAUGUGGGUCUGUUGCAUUGGUCGCUUUUGUGAUCAAUAUUUCGCAAUUGUGACGUUUGUAGCUGGGAAAAAGUUGGGGGAAACGAGACUUUGCUCAUUUUACACUCUUUUUCAAUCCUAAACUCUCUAGAGAUGAUUUUCGAAAAACAUUUUCUUCCCAUAUUCAUUGGUAAGCAACUUUAACUAGUUUUCGAUCAAUUCCCAUUACUUGCCCAUGAAUUUUAGGAUCAAAUCUAUGAAUUUCAAGGUAGAAUCUAGGGGUUUUGGGCUGAAUUUUGAGAUUUUGUAAAAUUGAGAUUUAGACCUCAAAUUGAAGUCGGAUUUUAAAACAAAUCACAUAAUCGGUCUCAGGGGUGAAUAAGUAAUUGAGAUUUGGUCCGAAUCUCAUAUUUCGACCAAGCGAGCCCGGGGUUGACUCUUAUUGACUUUUUCAAACGUGAUAAAAUUGAACCCUUUUUCACUCGUGGGUAGUUUCUAAAGCUUAUUUUGAAUUGUUUGAAUAAUAAUUGGCUAGAUUCUGUUGGUUUGGAGGCUUGUUCGUAAGGAAAAUUCGUGGUUGAUUGUGAUUUUAUUGCGGAAAGAGGAAAGUGUUAUGGUUAACUUUUAUUUGAGGGAACUAAGAUAGAAUAGAGUCUAUUUGCUAUGUGAACUAUGUGUUAGGGGCGACGUAUAUGCGAGACGACUAGUGCAUAUGCGUUGGUCAUUGGAUAAGCAUGCGGGUAGAAUUUGCCUUAAUUAUAUCAUAUUAUUUCAUUUACUAUGUCUUACAUGCCUUAGAUAGUUACUUAUUCUUUGACUAGUUGCUUUCGAGUAAUUUCUUAUAUUAAAUUAUUGUGAUUUUAGGUGAGAUACUCGCGACGCAGCAUAGGCUCUUGGUGAUGGAUGUUGGUAUUAUGUUAAAGAGGAGGAAAAGGUCUACUCGAGGAAGACCGAGAAUCAGGUGGGGAGCCUUAACUAAGGAUAAACCCAAGAGUUGGAGGGGGCAGUUAUUGGCUAUGGGAGCUUAGAGGAGCAGUGGUGACGCGAGCACUAUGUGAUCAGUGAUAACAGACUGUAUUAGAGAGGCUGCGAGAGAGGUGUUAGGAGUCUCGACGGGCGUCUCUGGUGGGCACAAAGGAGACUGGUGGUGGAAUGAAGUGGUCCAAGGUAAAAUAGAAGCGAAGAAGGCAGCGUACCUGAAGUUAGUAGGGAGCAUAGAUGAGGAGGAGAGGCGAGCGUGCACGGAGAGGUAUAAGACAACUAGGAAGGAGGCUAAACUGGCAGUCACGGAGGCUAAGACUGCGUCUUAUGGUCGUAUGUACAAGGAACUAGGUAAAAAAGGUGGGAAGAAGAAGUUAUUUCGGCUGGCCAAGGUGAGAGAGAGGAAGGCUCGGGAUUUGGACCAAGUGAGAUGCAUCAAGGAUGAAAAUGGUAGAGUAUUGAUGGAAGAUGCCCAGAUUAAGAGGAGAUGAUAGACUUACUUUCAUAAACUUCUGAAUGAAGAAGGGGAUCGAGAUAUUGUGCUAGGUGAAUUGGAGCAUUCCGAGAGUCACUGUGACUUUGGGUACUACAUGGAUAUCGAGGUUGAUGAGGUCGUGGGAGCUAUGCGUAAGAUGAGUAGGGGAAGAGCGACCGGGCCAGACGAGAUUCCGAUGGAAUUUUGGAAGUAUGUGGGGAGAGCAGGUUUGGAGUGGUUGACUAGGUUGUUUAAUGUUAUUUUUAAGGCGAAGAGGAUGUCGGAUGAGUGGAGGUGGAGUAUGGUGGUCCCAUUGUAUAAGAACAAAGGUGAUAUCCAGAGUUAUAACAAUUAUAGGGGUAUCAAAUUAUUGAGUCAUACCAUGAAAGUGUGGGAGAGGGUGGUUAAAGCGAGGGUGAGGAUGACAGUGUCUGUAUCCGACAACCAGUUCGGGUUCAUGCCGGGUCGUUCGACUACAGAAGCUAUACACCUUGUUAGGAGGUUGGUGGAACUGUACAGAGAGAGGAAGAAGGAUCUGCACAUGGUCUUUAUUGACCUAGAGAAAGCGUAUGACAAGGUUCCUAGAGAAGUUCUCUAGAGAUGCCCGGAGGCAAAAGUUGUGUCAGUUCCCUAUAUUGUGGCAAUUAAGAACAUGUAUGAUGGGGCUAAGACUCAGGUUAGGACAGUAUGAGGUGACUCUGAGCAUUUUUCGGUUGUAAUGAGGUUACACCAAGGUUCCGCGCUCAGUCCGUUCUUAUUCGCCCUAUGAUCGACGCGUUAACACACCAUAUUCAAGGGGAGGUGCCAUGGUGCAUGCUACUCACCGAUAACAUAGUUCUGAUUGAUGAGUCGCGAGCUGGUGUUAACGAAAGGCUGGAGGUUUGGAGACAGGUUCUUGAGUCUAAGGGUUUCAAGUUGAGCAUGACGAAGACGGAAUACCUGGAGUGUAAGUUCAGCACUGAGCCGGGGGAAGUAGGCAUGGAUGUGAGGCUUGAAUCACAGGUCAUCCCGAGUAGAGGCAGCUUCAAGUACCUUGGUUCGGUUAUCCAGGGGGGAUGGGAGAUCGACGAGGAUGUCACACACCGUAUUGGGGUAGGAUGGAUAAAGUGAAGGUUAGCAUCUGGAGUACUGUGUGACAAGAGAGUGCCACCAAUACUCAAAGGUAAGUUCUAUAAAGCGGUGGUUAGACCGGCCAUGAUGUGUGGGGCUGAGUGUUGGCCCAUUANNNNNNNNNNNNNNNNNNNNNNNNNUGAUUCAGACAUGUUCAAAGGAGAAGCCCAAAUGCUCCGGUACGGAGGUGUGAGCGGCUGGUUCUGGAGGGCACGAGAAGAGGUAGAGGGCGGCCUAAAAAGUAUUGGGGAGAGGUGAUCAGACAGGAUAUGGCGAGGCUCCAGAUUUUCGAGGACAUAACACUUGAUAGGAAGAUGUGGAGGUCGAGUAUUAGAGUUGUAGGUUAGGAUGUAGUUGAGUCUUGCCUUACUUCGUACCAUUGUGGGACUAGCCAAGUAGGGUUUUGUCUAAUAUAGCUAGUGACAAUGUUGUAUUUUACUACUUCGCUUUUCAGUGAAUGUCCUAUUUACUAGCUAUCGCUUUUGAUUUGCAUCUUUCUUCUGGAUUUCAUGGUGUUCCUAUUUUUCCUAUGAUUGCUGUGGUGAUACUAAUAUUGUCUCCUUUUGUCCUUUUGUCUUUUUAUUUUCUUGAGCCGAGGGUCUUUCGGAAAUAGCCUCUCUACUCCUUCGGGGUAGGGGUAAGGUCUGCGUACACACUACCCUCCCCAGACCCCAUUAGUGGGAUUUUACUGGGUUAUUGUUGUUGUUGUUGAUUUUAGGUGUUGUGAAUAUGGAACUAGUAAUUGGUUGUUGUCUCAAAUUGUGGAAAGAUUCUAGUAUGACGAGUGGAAUUUAAUACUAUUGUUGAAGUGUAUUUGCUUCCCAUCUUGCUUGAUAUUUGUGUUGUUAUUGCUUGGUGAGGAAGAGUGAAGAUCAUGAAGGGUGGUGUUGUGCUUCAUUUGCAUAUUGAUAUCCUUGAUUGAGUGAUUGUGAGGUUAAAGGCACGAAGGGUGAUGUUGUGCACAUGCUUAUUUAUCAUGAGAGGUAAAAGCACGAAGGGUAAUGCCGUGCAUAUGCAUUUUCAUUAUGAUCAUGUGAGGAUGAGAGUAAAAAUACGAAAGGUGAUGCCGUGCACUUGCAUUUCUGAUAUAUGGUGAGGAUGAGAGUAAAAGCACGAAGGGUGAUGCCGUGCAAUUUGUUGAUUUUAUUGCUUUGACUAGAUAAUUGAAAUAGGAGCUUGACUUAAUGGUUUCGGUGCUUAUUUUGAAAGAGGUUUACUUGGUGACUCUUGCUUAUUGUUUCUGCUUAUUGUCCCUUUCUACAUGUCCCUACUAUGUUGUUAUUUUGAUGCUUUAUUUGUUAUUUUGUUGCUUUAUGUAUAUAACUACACAUUAUUUUAGUAGGUGUCUUGUCUAAGCCUCGUCACUACCUCGUCGGGGUUAGGCUCGACACUUACUGAGUAUAUUGGAUCGAUUGUACUCAUACUACCCUUCUGCACUUCUUGUGCAGAUUUUGACAUUGGUACCAGCGGAGUCCCGAGAGGUACUUAUCGGAUACCAGACAGUGAUUCAAGGUAGAGUUGCAUCCCAUUCGCAAGCUUUAAAGUCACUUUCCUAUUUUCAUUGUACUAUUUUCAUUUUACUUCGGGCAUUGUUGUAUUUCUUUCAGAACCUUGUAUUUAGCUGGAUCUAGAUGCUCAUGUACUUGUGACACCAAAUCUUGGGGUGGUUUACAUUUGUUAUUGGUUUAGAACUUUAUUGUGUUAUCACAAAGUUGUUUUACAUUGUGUUAUUAAUCUAUUGUCUGAUAUUUAUUAUUUUUUCUUCUUUUCGUAUUAUCUGUUAUGUUGACUAGCCUAGCGAGCGGUGUUAGGCGCUAUCACGACCCUGAUUGGUUGGACUUUUGGGUCGUGACAAGUUGGUAUCAGAGCACUAGGUUACUCAGGUCUCACAGGUCAUGAACAAGCUUAGUAGUCUUGAAGACCGGUAUGGAGAUGUCUGUACUUAUCUUCUAGAGGCUAUAAGGCUUUAUGAAAUUUCACCUUCUUUCUUUCUCUAUCGUGCAAGUUUAUUCUAUCAUUGAGUUUGAAUCAUUUUAUUCUUAUUCUCUCAUAAAUGAUGGGGACACGUACUACAUUAGUAGUUAAACAGGAGUCAGAGCCCCAAGCUGCAGUCACUACUAGGGGUAGAGGUCGGGGCUGAGGUAGAUCUAGAGGCAGAGGCAGAGCUCAGCCUCGAGCAUGCAUAACAACACCUAUUGCAGAGCCUCAGAUUGAGCAGGAUGAGGAGAUCCUUGUUCCGGCUGUGCCGGUUGGACCACCUCAGGUCCAAGAGGGGUUCAUUGCUACCCUAGUACUUCAAGACUCCCUAGUUCACCUGGUUGGCCUUAUGAAGAGUGUGGCCCAGGCUGGUGUUUUCCCUAUGGCACCAGAUGUCUCUCAGGCUGGGGGAUGAGCCCAAACUCCCGUUACUCAUACUCUAGAGCAGAUGAUUCACGGAUAUCAGAUGCCGAUAGUCUACCAGUUGGAGCAAUUCAGCAUGUUAUUGCUACACAGUCCGGGGAGGGACCUGCAAUAUCAUCCGAGGGGAUGAAGAGGUUGGACAAGUUCACCAAGUUGUUUCCCACUCGCUCUAGUGGUACAGCUUUCGAGGACCCCCAGGAUUUUUUGGACCGUUGCCAUGAGGUAUUACGUAGCAUGAGUAUAGUGGAGUCCAACAGAGUUGACUUUGCAGUAUUUUAGAUGCACGGUUUUGCUAAGAGGUGGUGGCAGGAGUAUGUUCGAGGCAUACCAGCAGGUUCACCUCCUCUCACUUGGGCUCAUUUCUCACAACUAUUCUUGGGGAAAUUUAUCCAUUUCACUCAAAGAGAGAACUUCCAUAGUCAAUUUGAGUGCCUCCAGCAGGGUAGCAUGAUUGUUACUCAGUAUGAGACCAGAUUCGUGGAUUUAUCCCGCCAUGCAGUUAUCUUGAUCCCUAUAGAGAGGGAGAGGAUGCAUAGGUUUAUAUAUGGCCUUACUUAUGGCAUCAGGCUACAGAUGGCUAGAGAGACCGAGUAUGAUGUUUCUUUUACUCGAGUUGUGGAGAUUUCUAGGCAGAUCGAGAGGAUUCGUGGUCAGGGUAGAGAGGCGAUAUCUGAGAAGAGGCCUCGUUAGUUUGGAGGUUUCAGUGGUGCCUCAUCUAGAGGUAGGGUUCUUUUGGUAGAGGCCAUCCUAUCUAGCCGGUCCAGUCAGCGCUUCAGGUAUCAUAUGGUGCCUGGUCACUACUGCUCAGUCUUAUAGACCACUUUAUAAGAUUUAUUUUUAUUCCUGAUCCCAGCUCUCAAUAAUUUAAAUUACCAAAAGAGUUCAGAAAAGAAUAUGGGGACACCAUCAAAGAAAGAAACAUAAGUGAGGGCUUGGAUAGCAAGAUUUGACAUGUAUCUGUGAAUAACAAUAAAAUAGAGUAGUCUAAAAUAAAGUGCUAAGCUAAAUAACGACGUAAUCCAAAUACAAUCCCAUAAACUGGAGUCACAAAUACAUGAGCAUCUAGAGUGCUACAAAUAAGGUCUGAACAAAGUAAAAUUGUUUUGAAACUCGAUAAAAAAGUAACGAUAGAAGGGAAGGGGACUUCACGAUUGCGGACACCGUGCAGCUAUAUCUCAAGUCUCCAACUGCGACUGAAUUCAAGCAGAAAGAUAUUGAGCGCUGCUAGGACCAAUAGCAGUAUCUGCACAAGAAGUAUAGAAGUAUAGUAUGAGUACAACCGACCCAAUAUACUUCGUAAGUGUCGAGCCUAACCUCGAUGAGGUAGUGACGAGGCUAUUGACAAGACACCUACGUAAAAUAAAUAUGUACAAGUGUAUAUAAAGCAGCAAUAAUAACAAAGAAUGAUAAAAUACUAUUUGGGAUGGGACAUGCGAAAAGUGGAAGAUAUAGUAAAUACGACAAGUAUGCAAUCACGAAAUAACCAAGUAAAUCAUCAAAAUCGGAGAUAAGUUAAAUCAAUGAUAUGAAAAUAGCACGGCAUCACUCUUUGUGCUUUUACUCUCAUCCUCACCAUGUAAUAAUAUGAAUGAAAUGGCACGGCAACACCCUUCAUUCUUUUACUCCCGUCCUCACCAUGUAAUAAUAUGAAUCUAAAUAAUGAAUAAUGCGGGGAAAUAAUUUAACUUCAAAUAUGGUGACAUGAUGUGUUACUUACCUUAAACCGUGUAAUUCACAACUCCAACAAGCCCUUCCCACGAGUAUCGUCCUCCAAACGACUCGAAUCUAGUCACAAAUAAUUCAAUAUCAACAAAUAAUGCCGUAGGAAACUACUUCAAGCAAUAAAGUUUCGUGCUUUUACUCUCAUCCUCACCAUGUAAUAAUAUGAAUAAAAUGGUAUGACAUCACUCUUUGUGCUUUUACUCUCAUCCUCACCUUAUAAUAAUAUGAAUGAAAUGGCACGGCAACACCCUUCGUUCUUUUACUCCUGUCCUCACCAUGUAAUAAUAUGAAUCCGAAUAAUGAAUAAUGCGGGGAAAUAAUUUAACUUCAAAUAUGGUGACAUGAUGUGUUACUUACCUCAAACCGCGUAAUUCACAACUCCAACAAGCCCUUCCCAUGAGUAUCGUCCUCCAAACGACUCGAAUCUAGUCACAAACAAUUUAAUAUCAACAAAUAAUGCCGUAGGAAACUACUUCAAGCAAUAAAGUUUCGAUCUGUAUCAAAAUAAAAAUUCAACCCCGGGCUCAUAUCUCGGAACCCGACAAAAUUUAUAAAAUUUGAACACCCAUUCAAUUACGAGUCCAACCAUACCAAAAUCAUCCAAUUCCGACCUCAAAUCGACCUUCAGCCCUCCAUUUUUCAUUUUUGAAAAGUUUCCACCAAAAUUCCUAUUUCUUCACUUUAAUUCACUAAAUAAACGAUAAAAAAAAGGAUGGAAUUAUGAUAAAUAAACAAACCAGAGUCAAAAACACUUAUCCCGAUUCAAGACGUGAAAAUCCCCUCCAAGAUCGCCCAAAAUCGAGCUCUACAACUCAAAAUAUAAAAAUAAUACUCUAACCUUCGAUUUGGGAUUUUAAUAUCUACUGCCUAGUUGUUCCUCUUCGCGAUCGCGGAAAGUACCUCGCAAUUGCGAAGAAACAAAUUCACUGCCUUCAAAAAUGGUCUAAGCGAAUGCAUACCAUCAGACGUGAACGUGAUUCUUAGCAACCCAGAGCUACGGGAUCGCGAACCAAGACACGCGAUCGCAAAGAACAACGCAUGGAACUUCUAGACCUCACCUUCCUUCUUUGCGAACAUGUCCCUUCUCCCGCGUUCGCGGUGUACUAUCAACGAAAGCUCCGCGAUUGCGUCCUCAAACUAGCGAGCGCGAUGAACAACUUCACAUAGCAACCAAAUAACCCUUCACGAUCGCGUAUAAGGAAACCAGAUACAACAAUAUUCAGCAGUCCAACACGUCCAAAAUGAGCCGAACAUGAUCCGAAUCACACCCGAGGCCCCCGAGACCCCAUCCAAACACACCAACAUAUCCUAAAUACGAUACAAACUUAGUCAAAGCCUCAAAUCACAUCAAAUAACACCUAAAUCACGAAUAGUACCCCAAUUCAAGCCUAAUGAACUUAUAAACUUCUAACUUCCAAAACUAAUGCCGAAUCAUACAAAACCAACUCCGAUUGACCUCAAAUUUUGCACACAAGUCGUAAAUGACACAACAGACCUAUUACAACUACCGUAACCAAAAUACGAACCCGAUAUCAACAAAGUCAACUCUCGGUUAAACUUCUCAACCAUCCAAACCUUAACCUUUCCAACUUUCGCCAAUUCAAGCCAAAAUGACCUACAGACCUACAAAUCAACAUCCGGACAUAUGCCUAAGGACAAAAUCACCAUACAAAGCUAUCAGAGCCAUCAAAACUCUAUUCCGGAGUCGUAUACACAAAAGUCAAACUCCGAUCAGCUCUUUCAACUUAAGCCUUUAACCUUGGGACUAAAUGUCCCAUUUCAUUCCGAAACAUCCCCGAAACCAAACCAACCAUCCCGACAAGUCACAUAACCAUAAUUAAAUGUAAAAGAAGCAAUAAAUAGGGAAAAGGGGCUACAAAACUCUAAAUAACCGGCCGGGUCGUUAUGUUCUCCCCCUCUUAAACAAACGUUCGUCCUCGAACGGGUCUAGAAUCAUACUUGGAGUCUCAAUUAAGUGUGGAUAGUUGUUUCGCAUCUCCCGCUCGGUCUCCCAAGUAGCCUCCUUGACUAGCUGGCCUCUCCAUUGAAUUUUCACUGAAGCUAUAUUCUUUGAUCUCAACUUUCAAACCUACCGAUCCAAAAUGGCCACUAUCUCUACCUCAUAAGUCAGAUCCCCAUCUAACUAGAUUGUGAUGAAGUUCAAAACAUGAGAUGGGUCACCAUAAUACUUCCGUAGCUUAGAAACAUGAAACUAUGGGUGAACACCCGAUAAACUAGGUGACAAUGUAAGCUUGUAGGCCACCACUCCAUCCUCUAAUGAACCUCAAAAGGGCCAAUAUACCGAUGGCUCAACUUUCCCAUAUUCCCAAACCUCAUUACACCCUUCAUGGGCGAUACUCUAAGAAAUACCUUCUUUCCCACCAUAUAUGCAAUAUCACGAACCUUCCGAUCAUUGUAACUCUUCUGUCUAGACUGUGUUGUGCAAAGCCGAUCCUGAAUCAACUUUACUUUCUCUAAGGCUUCCUGAACCAAAUCAGUACCCAACCACCUAGCCCCUCUUAGCUCAAACCAACCCACAAGAGAAUGGAACCGCCUCCCAUAUAAGACCUUAUAAUGAGCCAUCUGAAUAAUCGAUUGGUAGCUGUUGUUGUAGGAAAACUCUGGAAGUGGUAGGAACUGAUCCUAAGAACCCCCAAAAUCCAUAACACAAUCACGUAGCAUAUCCUUUAAGAUCUAAAUGGUGCACUCGGACUGUCCGUCUGCCUGGGGGUGGAAUGUUGUACUCAACUCAACCAGUGUGCCCAACUCUAGCUGCACUGCUCUCCAUUACUUCGAUGUGAAUUGUGUUCCCCGAUCUAAAAUAAUGGUCACCGGCACACUGUGAAGACAAACAAUCUCGCAGAUAUAGAUCUCAACCAACCGCUUCGAAGAAUAGGUAGUCACAACCGGAAUGAAAUGUGCGGACUUAGCCAACCGGUCCAAAAUCACCCAGAUAGCAUCGAAUUUCUUCAAAGUUCGUGGGAGCCCAACAAAUAAGUCCAUGGUAACACGCUCCUAUUUCCACUAAGGAAUCUCAACUCUCUAAAGCAAACCGCCCGCCCUCUGAUGCUCAUACUUCACCUGCUGACAGUUCAAGCACCGAGCCACACAUUCUACAAUAUCUUUCUUCAUUCUCCUCCACUAAUAGUAUUGCAUCAAAUCCUGAUACAUCUUGGCGGCACUCAGAUGAAUGAAAUACCAUGAACUGUGGGCCUCCUCAAGAAUCAACUCACGUAACCCAUCCACAUUGGGCACACAAAUCUGACCUUGCAUCCAUAACACCUCAUCAUCUCCAAUAGAAAUCUCCUUGGCAUCACCCUGCUGUACCGUGUCCUUAAGGACAAGCAAAUGGGGGUCGUCAUACUGACGCUUAUACAUAGAAGACCGAGAGACCACACAAGCUAGAACCCGACUAAGCUCUGAAAUAUCUAAUCUCACAAACUGAUUGGCCAAGGCCUGAACAUCUGAUGCUAGUGGUCUCUCACCAACUGUAAUAUAUGCAGGGCUACCCAUACUCACCGCCUUUCUACUCAAGGCAUCAACCACCACAUUGGCCUUCCUGGGAUAAUACAAAAUGGUGAUAUCAUAGUCUUUUAACUGCUCCAACCAUCUCCACUGCCUCAAAUUUAGAUCCUUCUGCUUAAACAAGUGUUCUAACUCCGAUGAUCUGUAAAUACCUCACAAGACACGCCGUAGAGAUAAUGCCUCCAAAACUUCAAUGCAUGAACAAUGAAUGCCAACUCUAAAUCAUGAACGAGGUAGUUCUUCUCAUGGGGCUUCAACUGGCGUGAAGCAUAAAUAAUCACCCUACCCUUUUACAUCAAAAACACCUUAUACCAAUCCGAGAAGCAUCACAAAUAACCGUAUAUGAACCUGAUUUUGAAGGCAAAACUAGAACUGGAACCGUGGUCAAGGCAGUCUUGAGCUUCUGAAAGCUCUACUCAUACUCAUUAGACCACCUGAAUAGAGCACAUUUCUGGUUCAAUCUAGUCAAAGGUGUAUCAAUGGAUGAGAACCCCUCCACAAACGAUGAUAAUAUUGGGCCAAGCCAAGAAAACUCCGAAUCUCAGUAGCUGAAGACGGUCUGGUCAACUCUGAACUAUCUCAAUCUUCUUUGGAUCUACCUUGAUACCCUCAAUGGACACACAUGCCCAAAGAAUGCCACAUAGUCAAGCCAAAACUCACACUUGGAGAAUUUAGCAUAAAGCUUCUUCUCCCUCAACGUCNNNNNNNNNNNNNNNNNNNNNNNNNNNNNNNNNNNNNNNNNNNNNNNNNNNNNNNNNNNNNNNNNNNNNNNNNNNNNNNNNNNNNNNNNNNNNNNNNNNNNNNNNNNNNNNNNNNNNNNNNNNNNNNNNNNNNNNNNNNNNNNNNNNNNNNNNNNNNNNNNNNNNNNNNNNNNNNNNNNNNNNNNNNNNNNNNNNNNNNNNNNNNNNNNNNNNNNNNNNNNNNNNNNNNNNNNNNNNNNNNNNNNNNNNNNNNNNNNNNNNNNNNNNNNNNNNNNNNNNNNNNNNNNNNNNNNNNNNNNNNNNNNNNNNNNNNNNNNNNNNNNNNNNNNNNNNNNNNNNNNNNNNNNNNNNNNNNNNNNNNNNNNNNNNNNNNNNNNNNNNNNNNNNNNNNNNNNNNNNNNNNNNNNNNNNNNNNNNNNNNNNNNNNNNNNNNNNNNNNNNNNNNNNNNNNNNNNNNNNNNNNNNNNNNNNNNNNNNNNNNNNNNNNNNNNNNNNNNNNNNNNNNNNNNNNNNNNNNNNNNNNNNNNNNNNNNNNNNNNNNNNNNNNNNNNNNNNNNNNNNNNNNNNNNNNNNNNNNNNNNNNNNNNNNNNNNNNNNNNNNNNNNNNNNNNNNNNNNNNNNNNNNNNNNNNNNNNNNNNNNNNNNNNNNNNNNNNNNNNNNNNNNNNNNNNNNNNNNNNNNNNNNNNNNNNNNNNNNNNNNNNNNNNNNNNNNNNNNNNNNNNNNNNNNNNNNNNNNNNNNNNNNNNNNNNNNNNCCGAGCGCCCGACACCAAGUCAAUACCAAAAUCAAUGUCCAUAUCGGGUGGAAUGACCGGCAAGUCUCCAGGAAACACAUUCGGGAAGUCUCUAACUACCGAAACAGACUCAAUGGUAGGAAUAUCAGCACCAACAUCCCUCACAAAAGCCAAAUAUGCCAGACAUCCCUUCCCAACCAUCUGUUGGGUCUUAAAAUAUGAAAUCACUCUACUGGGAACAUAGUCCAGAGAACCUCUCCACUCAACCCUAGGCAAUCCCGGAAUCGCCAACGUCACAGUCUUAGCGUGACAAUCCAGAAUAGCGUGACAUGGUGACAACCAAUCCAUGCCUAAAAUCACAUCAAAAUCAACCAUACUAAGCAAUAAAUGAUAACCUCUCGUCUCCAAUCCUCCAAUAGUCGUUUGGAUGGGGUCUCGAGGGCCUCAGAUGUGAUUCGGAUCAUGUUUGGCUCAUUUUGGACUUGUUGGACAGCUGGAUAUUGUUGUAUGUGGUUUCCUUAUAUGCGAUCGCGAACGGUGAUUUGGUUGCUAUGGUAAGUUGUUCAUCGUGCUCGCGAGUUUGAGGAAGCGAUCGCGGAGCUUUCGUUGAUUGUACACCGCGAACGCGGGAGAAGGGACAUGUUCGCAAAGAAGGAAGGUGAGGUCUGGAAGUUGCAUGUGUUGUUCUUUGCGAUCGCAUGUCUUGAUUCGCGAUCUCGUAGCUCUGGGUUGCUGAGAAUCACGUUCAUGUUUGAUGGUAUGCAUUCUCUUAGACCAUUUUUGAGGGCAGUGAAUUUGUUUCUUCGCAAUCGCGAGGUACUUUCCGCGAUCACGAAGAGGAAAAACUGGGCAGUAGAUAUUAAAAUCCCAAAUCAAGGGUCAGAGUAUUAUUUUCAUAUUUUGAGUUGUAGAGUUCGGUUUUGGGCGAUCUUGGAGGGGAUUUUCACGUCUUAAAUCGGGGUUUAUUUAUUUAUCAUAAUUCCAUCCUUCUUUGUAUCUUUUAUUUAGUGAAUUAAAGUGAAGAAAUAGUAAUAUUUGUGGAAACUUUUCAAAAAUGAAAAAUGGAAGGCUGAAGGUCGAUUUGAGGUCGGAAUUGGAUGAUUUUGGUAUGGUUGGAAUCGUAAUUGAAUGGGUGUUCAGAUUUUGUAAAUUUUAUUGGGUUCUGAGAUAUGAGCCCAGGGUUGAGUUUUUAUUUUGAUAUAGAUCGAAACUUUAUUGCUUGAAGUAGUUUCCUACGGCAUUGUUUGUUGAUAUUAAAUUGUUUGUGAUUAGAUUCAAGUCGUUUGGAGGACGAUACUCGUGGGAAGGGCUUGUUGGAGUUGUGAAUUGCGUGGUUUGAGGUAAGUAACACAUCAUGUCACCAUAUUUGAAGUUAAAUUAUUUCCCUGCAUUAUUCAUUAUUCAGAUUCAUAUUAUUACAUGGUGAGGACGAGAGUAAAAGAACAAAGGGUGUUGCAGUGCCAUUUCAUUCAUAUUAUUACAUGGUGAGGAUGAGAGUAAAAGCACAAAGAGUGAUGUCGUGCCAUUUCAUUCAUAUUAUUACAUGGUGAGGAUGAGAGUAAAAGCACGAAGGGUGAUGUCGUGCCAUUAUAUUCAUAUUAUUGCAUGUGAGGACGAGAGCAAAAGCACAAAGGGUGAUGCCGUGCCAUUUUCAUAUCAUUGAUUUAACUGAUCUCCGAUUUUGGUGAUUUACUAGGUUAUUUCGUGAUUGCAUACUUGGCGUAUUUACUAUAUCUUCCCCUUUUCGCAUGUCCCCUCCCAAAUAGUAUUUUAUCAUUCUUUGUUAUUAUUGCUGCUUUAUAUACACUUGUACAUAUUUAUUUUACGAAGGUGUCUUGUCAUAGCCUCGUCACUACCUCGUCGAGGUUAGGCUCGACACUUACGAAGUAUAUUGGGUCGGUUGUACUCACACUACACUUCUACACUUCUUGUGCAGAUACUGGUAUUGGUCCUAGCGGCGCUCAAUAUCUUUCUGCUUGAAUUCAGUCGCAAUUGGAGACUUAAGGUAUAGCUGCACGGCGUCCGCAAUCGUGAAGUCCCCUUCCCUUCUAUCGUUACUUUUUUAUCGAGUUUCAAAACAAUUUUACUUUGUUCAGACCUUAUUUGUAGCACUCUAGAUGCUUAUAUAUUUGUGACUCCAGUUUAUGGGAUUGUAUUUGGAUUACGUCAUUAUUUAGCUUAGCACUUUAUUUUAGACUACUUUAUUUUAUUGUUAUUCACAGAUACAUGUCAAAUCUUGCUAUCCAAGCCCUCACUUAUGUUUCUUUCUUUGAUGGUGUCCCCAUAUUCUUUUCUGAACUCUUUUAGUAAUUUAAGUUAUUGAGAGAUGGGAUCAGGAAUAAAAAUAAAUCUUAUAAAGUGAUCUAUGAUGACAUCAAACCGUAAACCUCAUGUGAUUAAAUUUAUAUUUCCGCAAUCUAAUAUAAAUGCCAAGAACUCAUUACAUAAACAAAUAAAAAGCUUCUCAUUCACAUAUAGACAAGUUGCCUCAAUUAAUAUGAGAAAUUUAUACAUACUUGUAGAACUAAUACUAAACGAAUUAGGCGACACCUUCUCAUCCUGCAGAAGCAAAUCAAAUACAUAGAUAUAGAACUAAUUCUAAGAUAAUUAUAUAUACCUUUUCAUCCUACAAAACUGUCACGACCCGAAUCCCACCCUCGGGACCAUGAUGGCGCCUAACGUCCACUUUCUAGGCAAGCCAACAUUAGUUAACCAAUUUAAUAAUUAAACAGUUCAAAACAGAAUAACAAUAAUUAUUAAUGAUGAUUAAAUCUGAAAUACAUGAAAUAAACUCAUAACAUAACACGGUCUAACUCAGUCCCAGAAGUCUGGUGUCACCAGUACAUAAGCAACUAGAAGUCUACAAGUAUAGUUUGAAAUAAAUACAACUGUUCGAAUGAGAUAAACAGUAAAGAUAGGAAAUGGAACGGGACUUCAAGGUCUGCGAACACCAGCAACUCUACCUCAAGUCUCUGAAGCAAAUAUGAUCUGAGCAGACGCACCUCUAAACACAGCUGGGACCAAUACAAGUAUCUGCACAAGAAGUGCAGAAGUGUAGCAUGA